CGGAAUAGUAACAGCCCGUUUGAUUUCUUUGAUAAGUUGAGGAUCCGACAUACGUGCAACGCCGCCUUGAGCGCGUAUAUCAGCAGGGACGCGCUCAAGAGCCAUGACAGCGCACGCGCCGGCCUCCUCGGCUAUCCGAGCCUGCUCAGCAUUAACGACGUCCAUUAUAACGCCGCCACGAAGCAUCUGAGCAAGACCCACUUUUACGGAAAACGGGGAUUGCUUAGUUGUUUCCGUUAAAGCACCAUUUCCGUAAACUGUUACAACGCCACUUCCGGCCAUAACGGAAUUCUCUGUGUGUGUGUGUGUGUGUGAAGGGAGAAAUGAGAAGAAGAUAGAUAGGGAAGAAAAGGCGGUGGAAGAGAAUUGGGAUUUUGUGUCUGAGGAUGUAUACUUUUUUAUAGGAAUAUAAGAACUACUUAUUUUACUGUAAUAUAUUUAAUUCCUCACAAAAUCCUUCAUUAUUUAUACACCAAACAAAAUCUUUGGAAAUGAAAAAUACACUAAAAAAUUAAACAUAUUUCACUAUCAGUCCACUUUUUCUUUGUUUGUUUGUGAUAAACAAUUUUUCUGCCGGUGGUUGGAAUUUAUUUUACGUCCUUAGUCCCCUUUGAUUUUGAUCCAACACAUAAUUCAAGAAAGAGCAUAAUAUUUAAAUAGUUUCAAAUUAAAAAUAGGUAAAAGAUAUCAAUUAUCUUUUAAUUUUGUAAAUUUAAAGAUAUCAUAUGAAAAAAUAAAUAGCAAAUUAUCAAAAUAAUAUAUUUUUAAACAAAUUAAAUAAAAAGAUAAAUAAAUUAAAAUGAUAGAGUAGUUAAGAUUCAUUUGAGUUGACGGAAUAUUAAAAAUAUGUUAACGAAUGUAUAAUUUUAUGUUGCUUUUGCUGCAGCAGUAGUCUCAUUCUUAUAGUUUUUGCCUUCAUAUCUAUCACUCGAUUACCAUAUUAUUUUUUCACGUAGGCUCUACACUACUUUUCUUAUUAAUUGCUAUGUUUUUUUAUUAAUUGUGUCAAGAGAUCUUUGGCUCAAAUUCAAGUACAAAAUGAUGGUCUAAGUGCACUCUAACCUUACUAUACUUCACUUGUGAAAAUUCACUUUUUUUUUUUUUGGUUUCUCAAGAUAUCCCACAGGCAGCCAUAAGAGUAAUCUUUCGUUCCUCGGUCAGUGCACUAAGCAGUAGGAAACUGUCCACAGAGUUCUCUCUAUUCACCAGAGGUGGGGAUUGAACGUUGUUGUGGAAAUUCACUUGAGUAAGUUAUUGUUGAUUAAAAAAAUCUUAAUACACUAAAAAGAAAUAACAUAAAACGUCACAAAAUCUAAACAUUAGCCACAAAUCACAUGUUCUUCAGGUAAAAUAAUUUCAUUUGCUUUCAAUAAGAGGAUAAAAUAAAAUCAUAUGGUGUUGGCUGGUUAUCUACCAAAUUAAGAGGGGACGAGGAACGGAAAAUGGUUGGUUGUAAUCUGAUUGUCAUUAUCCGGGAGGAAGAGCAUAAAUUGGUUGUGAAUUAAUCAAGGUCCAAAUUUAUUGAGAAAGUUUGGAAAUAUCUUCAUUUUAAUAAUUAUAUUUUGGAGUUAUUUAUGCAUUUGUGUUAAUAAUAGUGUUAUAUUUUGUUAGCUUUAAUAUAAUAUUUGUUUUGAUUCCUAUUUCAUUUUUAUUAUUUAUUAUGUUACAAAGAAAAGUUUCAUUUUUAUGUAACAAUAGAUUUGAUAUGAUCGUGCUAUUAUUUAUAUACUUUAUAAUAGUCCUACUCUUGUAUGCUUUUAUAUUUUCUUUAGAUUUAUACUUUAAAUUUAAUGCAAUGCGCCAUGUAACAAUCAUUCAAACAUAGCGACAAUAUAUUUUAUUUUUUUUAAAUAUCAUUCCUUUAAUCAAAUGUGAGAGACAAUCCUAACCAUGAGUAAAUUUUGAAUAAACUCUUUGGAAGAACUAUGUCUUAAACGGCAACGUUGAAGUUGAUCUUAUAAUUCGAGAGUAAUUCCUCUCAUACAAUAAACUUUAGACAUCAUGUUAAAAUUUAAAUUGAUCGAACCUAUGUCACUUUGUCAAUAUUUUUAUUUUGUUAAAAAGUGAAUUUCGAUAUAAUUCACCUCUCAAAAUUAGCUAUAAAGGUAAGAAUAGUCAUAUAAAGAGAUUACUUAUUGCAUAGUUGAUGACGUUGGACUAUUUGUACAUCAUGCCACGAGGGUGGUAAGCUCCUCAACUUGUUAUAAUUGUCAUAUUAAGACAAGAGUCUUUUCACUUGUUGAAUUUGUUGAUUUGCUUUUAUAAUAUCAAACCACAUUUUUUAUAAUUUGACCAACUUACUCCCUCAAUUUAGUUUUACUUGUCAUAAUUUGAUUAAUUAAAAAAAAUAAUUACUAACAUAGCUACUUUAUCAUAAUACUCCUACUAAAUAUUAUUUAUAUUAUAUAUUAAAUUUAAUUUGGAGAAAAAACAAUCAAUACUAAAGAUAAAAGAGGAAAAAAAUUUAUCUUUCCUUGAUAUGUUAAAAAUAACAAAUAAAAAUAAAAAUAUAAUUAGAAAAUUUGUAACAAGUAAAAGUAAAUGGAGAAAGUAAUAAGAUAAGCGAAUAUACUCAUUAAUUAUAAUUAAGUAUAGGGAUUUAUUAUAUAAAAUACAGCAAAGAGGUGCGAAAAAUAUCUGAACUGUGUCUAAAUUUGCAGUUGCGCAUACUGAAUUUUGCAGGGUCUUAUGACUCCUAGACUUUUUUUUUCGUAUUUAAAUGGCAUAUCAGCCACCCAAAGGGCGGUGAUUCACACGCGACCUUUCAACAAAUAAUUAUUCCUCUUAAUUAUAGUUCAACUCCUAAUUAUUGUAGAUAUCGAAGUUUUGUAGAACUCUACAAGAAAAAUUCAAAUUCUAUUAGAGUUCUUAACAUUUGUAGAAACUGAAAUUUUGUGUACUCUACAAGAAGAGUUCAAUUUUGGUAGAGUUUAAUUUUGAUUAGAGUUCUUGUAGGACUACUUUACCCUAAAUCUAGUUUGGUGGCUACUCUAUUCUAAACCCUAAAUUGCGCCUAUAUAAAGAGAGCAAAUAGAGUCUUCAAAGUCCAAUUAAAUUCGUGAGAUAUUUAUAGAUCAAAACUCUACCUUGGAGAUCAAAUUCAAAUAUUCCUACGUUUAAGAAAUACACCACUAAUGGCUCUCGAAUGAAAAUUCAAAUAUUCCUACGUUCGAGAAAUAUGCCUCGAAUGAAAAUUCAAAUAUUCCUACGUUCGAGAAAUACGCCACUAACGGCCCUCGAAUUUCAGAGAAAAUUCAUAUCAAAUCCAAAUAUUUCUAAGUUCGAGAAGAAAAUCCAUAUCAAAUCUAAAUAUUCCUAUGUUCGAGAAAUACGCUACUGUCUGUCCUCGAAUUACGAAGAAAAUGAAGAGAGAAGAAUUAAGGGAGAAACAAAUUGGCACGCCUAGUAGAAUCAAAUUUGCCCUUAUCUCUUCUCUCAUAAAUUAUCUACAAAUAUGUAGCCGGCAUAAAGAUGAAAGCUCUAUGAGUACUUCAAGACUCGUCAUCAAGUCUAUACUUUGACAAGAAGUAAAACCUACACUUAGACAAAAAAUAAAGCCUUGAAAUAGUAGGGACAUUUAUAGACAUCGACAAAAAGUAAAGCCUUGAAAUAGUAGGGACAUUUAUAGACAUCGAAAUCUUGUAGAACUCUACCAGAAGAAUCAAAAUUCUGUUAGAAUUCUUGACAUCUGUAGACACUGAAAUUUUGUGUACUGUACAAAAAAAGUUCAAUUUUUGUUAGAGUUUUUGUGGGGCUAUUUUACCCUAAAUUUAGUUUGGUGGUUAUUCUAUUCUAAAACCUAAAUUGCACAUAUAUAAAGAGAGCAAAUAUCUAUUAAAGAGGCAUUUUCAAAGUCUCAAUAAAUUCAUGGGAUAUUUAUAAAUCAAAACUCUUUCUUGAUAAUCAAAUAUAUCAAGAAGAUCCACAACAUCUUUUUUUAUGGAGAUAAAAUUCAAAUAUUUCUACGUUCGAAAAAUACGUUACUGACCGUUCUCAAAUUACGAAAAAAAUCAACAGAAUCAAGGGAGAAACAAUAACCCUGAAUUAUUAUCAUUGUGGGGUUUCAAAUAAUAAAAGUCAAAAUUAAGAGAAAUAAUUAUUUAUUGAAAGGUCGAUGUAAAUUAUCGUUCUUUGGGUGACUAAAUAGAUGGUCCAAAUGGACAGAUAUCUGUCAUUUAAAUAUGAAAAAAACUCAGGGGAUCUAGACCACAAAAUUCAAUAUGGGCAAUUAUAAAUUUAGAUAAAGUAUAAAUAUUUUUUUCAUGCUCUACUUACCUUCUUUUGAAGUGGGACAGUGAAAGGACUUGGGGAUCACGAAAUGAGGCGGCCAGAGGAAAGGGGUGGGUGUUGACUGAUGCAUUAAUACAUUAGAGAAACAAUGGGGCCUCCGUCACGUUAUUACCUCAAUCUAAUUUGUGCAAUGUGAUAUAAUUUAAAUAGUACAAAGAAAAAAAUUAAUGUCCAAAAUAGUUAUAAAAAAAUUAUAAGUCAAAAUAUAUUCUAAAAAAUAUCACAUAAAUUAAAUUGAGUAUGAUUAUUUGUUUAGUACUUAAAAUUUCAAAACAAUAUACAAUAUACAUUCCCAUGUGGUUUGCCAGUGCGCACACAGUGCUCACCCGAAAGGCAGAGGCUAUGACAGAGGGUGUAGCGGCUGCAGAUUUUUCUGAAAAGUUUCCAAAAAACAAUAUACAAUAUGAGUUGAUUUUACACUAUAAUCUCUGCUCGGCGAAGACAAACGAACCACUUAAAACAAUAGUUGGAUUCGUAAAAUGCCUUAAGGUGACCAAAGUCCAUAAAACUAUGACGGGUCGCUUGGUAAAUUGUUGGAGUCCCACAUCGGUGAGUUAAAAGGUCCUUUGUCUCUUUAUAUGAUUUUUGACAAUACUCUCCUUAUGAGUUAACUUUUGAGAUUGAGUUAGACCCAAUGUCCAUUUCUUUAUCAUGGUAUCAAAGCCAGACCCAUCCAAUUCUUGUUUUCGAUGUUUGGGCCCCGCCUUAGGCAUGCGGGGUGUUGGAGUCCCACAUCGAUGGGUUAAAAGGUCCUUGGUUAUAUUGUUUCGGACAAUCCUCCCUCAUGAGCUAGCUUUUGAAGUUGAGUUAGGCCCAAACUCCAUUUCUUUAUCACUUCUGAGAUUGAGUUAGGCCCAAACUCCAUUUCUUUAUCAUAAAUCGGCUAAGAUCAUUCUUUAUAUGAGAUAAUAAUUUUAUUAUUUUAUUUAUAUAAAAAAUAGGAUAAAGUCCAUUUUAUUUUAAAUUAUUUUUCGUAUCAGAACCAUUUGGCAUGUGGAUAAAAUUUAUAAUCUCUGUCCUCUUGUUAAUUUAUCCUACUUGAGAAAUUGAAUUAAAUAAUCUAAAAUUAAACAAGAAAAGGUGAAAUAUAUUACAAUUAAGCCUAUAAAAAAAUUUAUACCAUAUUCAAUAGGCUAUAAAUUUCUCUCAAAAUAAAUUCAUACUAUUAAAAUAUCCACCUGAAAUAAUUGCUUUCCUCGGGCGUGAGCCUGUGACAUACUUUCCUCGGUGUAGUUUUUUUUUUUGGUCCAAGUAGAUAUUAUACUUUAUUAGUAAUAUCUUUAGAUUUUUGUUUGAUAUUUUGGUCAUACUUUGAUAACCUUGAAUUUUUGUUUUAUAUUUUUAGACUUUUACAGUAAAUUACUUCCCUUUAAUUUUACUUUAAUUCAUGAACCAAUAGUGUAAGUUUGCAACUACUUGUGUGCAUAAAUAAUUUCGAACUCGAAAUCAAAAUGAGCUACAAAACAUAAAAAGUGAUAAAAAUAGGUCACCUAUUUAAAAAGUUAUCAAAAUAGAUUAAAUGUAAUAAAUUAUUACGUUUUUUACUUUUACCUUAACGGUUAACUAACGCUCAACACAUUUUGUAAAACGUAAUAAAUUAUUACGUUUUUCAUAAAAAAUAAAAAACAAAAACAGUGUGUAGUAUCUUCUUUAUGUCAAAUCAUGAAAAACGUAAUAAUUUAUUACAAACUAUAAACAGUGUUUGUCCUACCCAUAUCACAUCACAUCAUAUUUACUUUUUUUAUUUUUAAAUUUAAUCCACCCCACCCAUCCACGUAAAUUUAACCCCCCAACUCUAUAGGUAUCAUGCUAUAGGUAUUUACAAACGUUAUUUAUAAAAUAUAAUAAAUUAUUAUGUUUUACAAAUCGCAUCAAAUAUUAAGAUAAAAGUGAAAAAUAUAAUAAUUUAUUAUAUUUAAUUUAUUUUGUUAACUUUUUAAAUAGAUAAUCUAUUUUGAUCACUUUUUAUAUUUUGUGGCUUAUUUUGAUUAGAGUUCAACAAUUUCCAUAGUCCAAAAACAAGAGGAGGAAAACAAAUUGUUGAGCAGCAGUUGGUAACGUAAGCGGUGAGCGCAGAAGCUACUUAAUUUCCCAAUGCCUUCGCGGAUUCCCAAGCAAAUCUACCAAUUGAUAAAAAAGAAAAUAUUACUCCCCCAUUUUAUUUUAUGAGUUGUCAUUUAACCAAACACAAAAUUUAAAAAAUAAAUAAUGACUUUAUAAAGUUUAUAAAUUUUUUUUUUUAAAGUUUACUUUUUAAUUAUCUUUUUUUAUAAAGGGAAAUUCACUAAAGAUAAAAUAGAAAUUAUGUAAUUAAAUAAUUAUUAAAUAAAAGAAAAUAUAUUUUUUAGAACGGAUUAAAAAAAAAUAAGACGCAUGACUGCGUAUUUCUUUAGUAUUAAAUAUAAAAGUUAAAAUAAUCAUAUAAAAAAUUCAUUUUCAAAAUUAUAAUGAUGAAAAGUGACAUGAAAUAAGUGGGGUUGGGAGAGCUUGAAAUUGUCAUGACAUGAAACUACCACAAGCGUUUUUUGCACAACCUUUUGAAGGAAUCUUUGUUUUUUAUUUCUCAUUCAUGAAUAAUGAUAAUUGGUAGAUGACAAAUGAGCUUCUUCAUUUGCCACUACUUGUACAACAAUUGGGGUUGGGUACGUCACUUUUUGCUCCCUCAAUUUUGGCAAAUAUCGGCAACGCCUUGAUGGCUUAUUUCAUGCCUUAUUUUCUUUUCAUUUUCCUUAUCCCACUAUCACCAGUCUGCAAUAUUCCACGUUCAUGCAAUCCGUCACCUUAAAAAUUCCGUUUUUUUCAUUCAUUAGACAAAUAUUAUUAAAAUUAUAUAUAAUUAUUUUAGAUCCAAAAAUUAUUAAAUAUAACACAUGAAUUAAUAAAUAUAAAAUUAUUUUAUCUAAUCAAAUUGUAACGGGUUAUAUCACAUGAUUUCUCUCCUCUCCUGAAGUAAGAAAAAGAAAAGAGAGGCAAUAGAUGGAAGGCACAGAAUAUUAUUCCUUACCUAUUUUGACUAAAAUUUUAUAGUCCUAAAUUAACAUUAUAUAAAAUGUAUCGAAAUACUUUUUAAUCUUACGAUCUCAAACAUACAACCACGUGAAAAAUUAAAAUAUUAUCACAAAAGCUAAAGAUCUUUUUCUUUUUAAAUAGAGUAAAAAUGAAAGUAUAACAUUCUUUUUAAAAUAUAGGGAGUAUGAGAAUAUAACAGUAUUAUAAGGGUAAAAAUAUAUUUACCUCUAACGUUUACAUCAAUUUAAUAAUAAACACAUGAUAUAUGUUUUUAAUUUAGGCUUUAAUUGCUAAAUCAAAGUAGUUAAUAGUGCAUAUUCCAAUCUUAAUAUUUGACUUAAUUAUAACUAAAAAUUACACAAAUACACAACUUAUGUUUUCAAUAUUACAAAAAAGUGGAAGAGAGUGUAAUUACUGGUUGAUAUUUAUGUUAUUUAUACUAAUUAUAAUAAGAUAAUAUAAUUUGAUGUAAACAUGAGAUAUUGUAAUUUUUUAUUUUUUUUUACCACGAGCAUAACAUCUAAUUUCCCGUGUCUACGAACGUGAGGAAGAACCUGCAUCUCCUUGUUUACUUAUGAACAAAAAGAGCACAAAAUGCUUGUGUAUAUAAUACCAUGUACACAUAUUUUAAUUAUAAGACGGGGGUCGGUAGCUACAAAUAGGUAAAAAAUAGGUUUGAUUGUCUUACUCGUGUAUUAACAUUUCCUUGAUUUGCAUUAGUAGAAAGUACUAAAUCAAUGAAGUUUGCUUUUUAUUUAACAUCAUUUGUAAAGCAUCUUAAAGCAAUUAUGCUUUAAUGAUAGAGAGUUAUGUCAAAAAGACAUAAUUAUCAUAUAGUUGUUCAAUUACUGUGAUCACAGAAGAAAAUUAUUAAAAGAUUGCAAAACCAAUGGAGUCGUAGUCUCUUUUCUCUUGAAUGAUCAAUAAAGAUUAAAACUUGCUAUUUCUACCUAGCCCCUAAAUACAAAUGCCUAAACUUUAAAAUACCUGCUUCUUCUGUCGUAAAUGCAGAGAACAAAUGCCUUAAACAAGAUUGGAGAUCAAAGACGAAUUAUAAACUCAAAACAUCAAUAAUAAUUACACCUCAGUGACAAAACGAGCAUACAAAAAACUAAAAAUACUACGAUUAUAUAGAGUGCAUAAUGAUGAAUAGCCCCUUUCUUCUACAUUGGUUUAUUGUACAAAGAGAGAAGACAAACCAAAUUUCCUGAUUUAGACGAGACAUAACAGUUUCAAUAGAAUCAAAUACGGACUCUAAAUCCUAAAUUCGCCACUGUUCCUAUCUGGAAAUCGUGCAAGGACUCUCAUCUGAAGGGAUCUUUUGAGCAAACUUUUUUGCUUGUCAUCAGCAUACAAAGGACCGAAUUCGUAAUCUUGCAGCUUUGCCUACUCUGAGAUUAAGUGAUACAUGUAAUCAUAAAUCCGAUCCAUACUCAAACUUUCCAUGACGUCUUGUGCAGCUUUACCAAUCGCUUCAGCCAAUUCAGAAAAAAAAAAAAAAAAAAAAAAUCAAGUAAAAAAGUAUAAUGACAUUGCUAAAUGAAGAGUUGCAAGCCUAAACAACAGUAAAUUUUAAAGAUAAUAUCAAAUCAUACAUGCUAGUAUUAGCCUUGCAAAAGAUUAGCAAGCAUGUUAAGAAAUCAUAAAUAACAAAGUAAUUUGACUAAUUCAUCUCUUAAUUUUUUUUUUGAUGAACUUUACCAAUGAGUGAACACUUUUAAAUAGAAUAAAUUGCAAGGAUAAUAUAAAAAAGAAUUAAUUAAUAUUUCUUAAAAAUUAAGUGUACCAUAUUAUUUGUCCACCUUACUAAAUUAAAAAAUAUAUAUUAUAUAAAAUAAUUAAUAUUUUUUUAAAUUUAGUAAGGUGGACAAAUAAAAUGGUAUAACUAGUUUUAAUAAAAUGAUCAAAUAAUAUGGGACAGAAAGAGUAGUAGGAAAUAGUAUCUAUUUUUAGUAAAAAUGACAGUUAUUAAUCAAGAGAGGUAGUAAUAUAUAUAUAUAUAUAUAUAUAUGGCCAUAGAUCCCUAACCCAGAAUUAGUAACGAGAGCAAAUUCGUUUUAUGAAGAUGGGCAAGCCGAUGGACCAAUCAUAUUAUCCCCAGAAAAGAAACAAAGAAUCUAUUCCCCUUGGAAAUUCUCAGUAAUUAUCAAAUUACUGGGCAAAAAAUUCAACCACCAGCACUCGAAGAUUGAUCUAUGAAAACUCAACGAAUCCUUCCCCUUAAUUGACCUGGGCCUCCAAUAUUACACUGUCAAAUUCUCAGAUUUUGAAUUGCAAAAGAGAAUUUUAUAGGAGGGACCUUGGUUUGUGGUCGACUCCUAACUUUCGAUCCGACUAUGGGAGCCAAAUUUCAUACCCAAGGAAUCCCUAAAUAAAUUCACGAUGAUCUGACUCUGUUUACCCCAGUUACCCACCGAGUUCUACAAUAAUUCAUUCUUAUAGAGGGUGGGUCGCAACGUAAGUAAACUACUCAAGAUCAACACAUGUACCUCCUCAACACUAAGAGCCAGAUAUGCAAUAAUCUGUGUACAAGUGCCACUGGGAACCUUGUUGAAAUCUUUAAUAACGAUUGGAAGCCAUAUGUAGGCUUUCCACUAUGAGAGAGAAGGUUUCCUUUGCAAAACACGUGGAUGCUUGGGGCAUACCCUCAGUAAUUGCCCAAUAACCUUUUCUGGAAAAGAGGUUAACCCUUCGGAUGUCAAAGACUCACCAACGGUAGUGAAGAAAGAAUGGACGGCGGUCAGUUUCAAUCGGAGAAGUAAGAAACGCAUGCAACUUGGACAAGGAAGCAAAACAAGGCAAAUUAACACUAAUAUUAAAAGGUUUGAUGCGAUUUCUGGUAAGUUUCUAGAUCCACAAUCCACUGAUACUCCCCAGGUGACGAAUUCCAACAAUCCCCCACUGGCGGCUCAAGGUAAGUCCUCAAAAUUCCCAUAUAACCCUAAUGGGUCGGGUCCUUCUAGGUCCAAUUGGAAUUCUGGGCCUAAAACGGAUAUGGAUAAUUGCCAGCCCACUUCUGCUGGCCAGAAGCGGCCUGCUACCUCCCUUACCCAUGGGUUGACUAAUGAAACCCCCUCUUUCAAUAAAAAAAGGCCCAAACCAUUUGGGCCGACAAAACCUGAAUGAAAUUGGUGACUCCCCCUUGUCCCAACACAUUUCCUCUAGCUUAACCAGCAAUCUUUUUGUUGCUGAGCUAAAAAAAAAAAUCAAACCCCUCCCUCUCUCUCUUCAAAUGCCUGAUAUCCCCUCUGAAUGUACUUUGUCGGAGCACAUCAAUCAAAAGGUUGAGGGUGCCUUUUCCAACAACACCUCACUUAAUGCUCAGUUAACAAUGAUGAAAGCCACAGAGUCUUCCCUUCGGAUACUCUUCAAAAGAACUACCUCAAGGAAAGUAAUCCUACUUCUGUCACUCAAUUUCUCUCAAUUCUCUUUCUCAGACUUCUAAUGGCUUCUUCGAUCCAGGAUCAACAUCUACCUCUGGUCAUCUACACCAAACCACUUGAACCAAAUAUUAUCCCAACUUCAUAGCUGUGCUUUCCCAAUAGUCUAUUCAUCUAAAACUAAAUGUGGAGAGGAGGUCCAUCACUCUCCUAAUACAAAACCCUCACUAUCUGGAUCAGCUGGUGAAGAAGGACAUGAACCAAGGCCUGACCAACUAUGGUCAGAAUGUGUGAAUGACCACAAUGAAGAGCAUCUUCAGUCAAGGCCUGGCGACCAGAUGGUCAACAGACCUGAUCACUUCAGAACUCUCCAACAUGAGUCAAAGCCUUCCCUUCUUCCCACCAAAAAAGAUGGAACUGCUGACGGAGGGUCCUCUUUUUGUUCUAAGAUCUGGGGAUCCCCACCAACCCCAUACUCAAAUCCUCCACCUCUGAAAUUAUCCCCCCUUUCAUUAGAAAUGAUGGAACGGGAACAGACUCUAGAAGCCUUGAGAGAAAGCAACAUGGAAAUAGAAAACAUUCUGGCCUCCCUGAAAUCUCCUCACUCUAGAAAUACCUCUCUCAAGUUUCUUUAAGGACCUUACCAAUGAACUCCUUCUAAUCCUCCUACCAAUCAAGCUCAACAAGUUUGAUCUAUAACUAAAUCUCCCAGGAACAGGAAUCUUCUAUUCCACAAAACUGAAUUCCCUAUCCAGAAAGAGGAAGGAAUAACCAAACGCCCUGUCUCCCCUACUUGACAAGGGCAAGAGCCUCAUAGAUAAUCUCCAAGCACCUCUAGCCAACCCCAUGAUGAACAUAAUAAGAUGGAAAAUUAAGGGGCGAACAACGCGGAGUUUAAGAGACAUUACCAAGCAAUGAUCAACAUCCACAAGCCCACUCUUUUAACUCUUCUUGAGACUCGCAUGGCUGAUAAAAAAUGUAUUAUCCAGACCUUAGAUUCAAUAGCCAAAUCUAAUUCCCAACCACUGGUAACUCUGGUGGUAUUAUCAUCAUAUGGGACAGUACCCCCUCUCCAUCCAGGACAUAACCAUCCAUCCUCAGGGCAUCCAUAUUGCUGUGAAGGUAAGCAACCCCCAUUCUAAUUGGUUUUUAGUACUAUUCAUAUUAGUACUGAUUUUAAUAUUCAAAAGUCUCUUGGGAACUUUCUCAUUAAUUAUGCUAACUCCCUCAAUACUCCCAACCACUCCCCUUGGCUUAUUGGGGGUGAUUUCAAUGAGGUCCUUAGGGCCUCUGAAAAAUUUAGGGGUAAUAACAUCAAUAGAAGUAGGGUCAACACUUUAUGGAACUACAUCAAUCGAUGCAAAUUGACUUACCUAGGCUUCAAGGGUAGCAAAUUCACCUGGACUAAUAAAAGAUAUAGAAAUAGGAGAUCCCUGAUCCUAGAGAGACUGGAUAAAUAUUUUGCUAAUGAAGAGUGGUUAUAUAUUUUCCCCGACACUACUGUAAUUCACUUUUCUAGGACUCACUUUGACCAUUUUCCCCUUCUUAUUAAUCUCCACAUACCUCCUCCUAAGCCUGAUAAACCCUUUAGAGUUGAAUCAAUGUGGUGCUACCUUAGUUUCAUCCAGGUAGUCCAAAAUUCCUUUGGUAGGGACACCCCCUUGUGGAGGCUACCCUAUCUUUUCAAGAGCAAGCCCAAAACUGGAAUAGACUCACAUUUAGUAAUAUAUUAAAUAGGGGACAUCUUAGCCAGACUCUUUGGCAUUCAAAAUUCUCCCAGUUACCCUAUCAGUCUCUUCUUCCAAGACCUGGAAAAAAGUUUCACAAGGUAAUUUAGUCUCAUUCUUAGACAGGAGCAUGAAUUUUGGAGACUCAAAUCCAGAAUAUCUGGCUAGUUGAGGGGGAUUCCAAUACCAAGUUUUACUAUACCUCUACUUUUAACAGAAGGAGAAGAAAUAGGUUUAAUCUUUAAAGGAUGAGAGUGGUAAUUAGGCGACCUUCUUUAAAUUAAUCAACCAGCAUAUUGUUUCCUAUUAUCACCCUCUUUUCAUGACUGGACAUAACUUCUCCUUCAUGUCUUACCAAGCUAAUCCAUUUUCUAAGGGAUUUCUUCAUUAUGAGGAUCAUCUCUUUCUGGAUAGCAUACCCUUUACUGAGGAAAUAAAGAGCAUCAUCUUUUUCUUCAAACCUGACAAAGCCCCUGGUCCAGAUGGCCUAAUCCUUUUGUUUACCAGAGGUUCUGGAAUAUUAUUGGGCCUCCUAUCACUAAAUUCUGUGAGGAGACCUUCUCUAAAGGCAGUAUUAACCCUAAUGUAAACUUCACCCACCUUUGUCUCAUUCCUAAAUGCCCAAAUGCUUCCAGCCUGAAAAAUUCAGACCUAUUGGCCUUUGCUAUACCCAAUAUAAACUCAUCACCAAGAUUAUAGCUAGAAGACUUAGACCUCAUCUAGCUAAGAUUAUUAGUACUAGUCAAGCUAGUUUUCUUUCUAACAGAAGGACCUCUGAAAAUGCUAUCAUUGUCCAAAAAGUGAUCACUCACUUCCAAAAAAUGAAAGGCUAACAGAGUAACAUGGUGUUAAAAAUUAACCUAGAAAAAGCUUUUGAUAGAAUUGAGUGGUCCUUCAUUAGGCAAGCUCUCCAUUUAUUGAAUAUCCCUCCCAAAAUAUCCUCUCUCAUCAUGUCAUGCAUCACCUCUUCCACUAUCUCUAUUCUCAUUAAUGGGGAAAGACUAGUUUCUUUCAACCCACCAUAGGUAUAAGACAAGGAGAUCCCCUCUUCCCUUAUCUUUUUAUUAUGUGUGUGGACCUUCUCUCCAGAAGAAUUGACUAUGAGAUUGAUAUCUUAAAUUGAUACCCUAUUUCUAUCAAUAAGAGAGGCCCCUACACUCUCUCGCCUAUUCUUUGCUGAUAAUCUUACUCUUUUUGCCAAAGCUACCAGUGGAAACUGUGCCACCAUCUCCAAGGUCCUCCAGGACUUCAGCUCUCACUCUGGGUAAAAGAUCAACCACUCCAAGUCUAAGAUCCUCUUCUUAAGAAACUACCCUUCCCAUACCAAAGAUCAACUCUCUUCUAUCUUCUAUAUUAGAACCUCUGAUAACUUUGGUAAAUAUCUGGGUUUUCCAAUCUUUCACAAGAAGCCUGCUAAUGGUGACUUUAAUUUCAUCCUUGAUAAUCUAAAUGCUAAACUGGCUAGUUGGAAGGUUAAUCUCUUAAAUAUGGUUGGGAGGGUCACCCCAACCAUAUCUUCUCUAAAUAACAUCUCUGCAUAUGCUAUGUAAUAUACUUCUCUCCUCAGUACUAUCCUCUUCCCAAUUGACAAAAUUCAAAAAAAUUUUAUUUGGGGGACAACCUCUGAGAAAAGGAAACUUCAUCUCUUAAGCCGAGACUUUAUUUCCAGGACUAAAGAUGAUGGAGGCCUUGGAUUUCAAAGAGCUAAAUCCAGGAAUGAUACUUUCAGUGCUAGCUUAUCCUGGAGGUAUUACCAUAACCCUAACAGCCCUUGGACCUCUAUUCUCAAGGGUAAAUAUGAGAGACUUAAUUUCCCUCCCAGUAAGUCCCCCUCUAGAAUCUGAAAAUUCAUUACUCAGGGUGGGACCUUGUGUAAGCUUGGGGAUCAUUGGAUCUCCAAAGAUGGUAACAAUGUUAACUUCUGGGAGGAUAGAUGGAUUCCUCAUCUAGAACUCUUAAGAAACCUGAUUCAAGGACCCCUAUCCCUCUUCGAGUCCAAGCUAACUUUAGCCGAGGUCUGGAAUGAGAGUGUUUGGAUUUUUUCCAAACCUCUCACUCCAAUUACCUUUGGACCUUAUCCACAGUAUCCAAAGCUCCUUUAGGAGGAAUCCCAGAAUUCAUGCUGAUCAUUUAAUUUGGGGACUCACUGGGAAUGGGUGUUUCACUAUCAAAUCCAUGUAUAAUUUCAUUUCCAGUAUUGGUAAAAUUCAGGAUAGUCACAUUGGCCACUCCUUUAAGUGGAUCUGGCAUAUCAAUGAACCUCCAAAGCUCAAAACUUUUCUUUGGCUAGCCCAACACAAUAGGCUCUCUACUUCUUCUUAUCUUGCUAGAUUAGGCUUAGAUAUCAACCCUAUAUGCAAGGCCUGUAAUAAUCAUAUUGAGGAUAUAAUUCAUAUCUUCUUUGAUUGCCCCAUCACUAAAGAUUUUUGAAAACAUCUCUUCGAGGCUGGUACUAAGACUGAUUGUCUCAACAUUACCAGUUUCUAUCCCCCAAAAUGGCAUUCCACCUGGUCUAUGCUGAAUUACAAGAGUUUUAUAAGAUCCUCAAUUGGUAUAAUAUCCCCUCUUUAAGCCUUUGAACCAUAUGGAAGAACAGGAAUCAUAACACUUUUAACAACCUGUGUGCCCAUCCUAGCUAGAAACAGGCUUAUGAUGAGACCUUAGAGUAUAUCACUCUAGUCUCUCCAAAUAAGCAACCCCACUGAAAGGUGGACAUCAAUCUUAGGUGGAUCAGACCCAAGGUUGGUUCUUUCAUGCUUAACACCGACGGAACUUAUAAAGGAAACCCAGGUAAAGGGGGUAUUGGGGGAGUCAUUCGUGGUUCUGUUAGUAGUUGGGUUUUUGGGUUCGCUAAGGCCUAUUCUUGGGCUAAUAACAAUCAUAUGGAGCUCAUAGCACUCCACAAAGGCCUACGCCUACGCUAAUUGAAAUUUGAAUCGACUCAACUGAAGUACUGUCUUGGCUAGCUAAUGGCAACUUACUUUAUGACUCAAUUAUUGAUGAAUGCAAGUCAAAACUAAGAAGACUAGGAAGACCCAUGGUCUCACACUAUUAUAGAGAGCAAAAUGGAGUUGCAGAUGCGUUGGCAAAACUAUGUUCCCAAAUGGAACUACAACUGACAAGCAACCUUUUUUGAAGUUCCGCCUAUGUGUGCACAGAAGCCACUAUGGGCAGACAUGACUGGAACUUUUUUUUGCAAGAUCGAUUAAUGAUUGUAAUUUAAACCCCAACACUGGGUCUGUGUUUUGUUUUGUAAUUAACCCAGACUAGAACUUGCUGGAUCUUCCCCAUCUGUUUUAAUUUAAUGCAAUCGUCUUGACCAAAUAUAUAUAUAUAUAUAUAUAUACACACACACACACACACACAAAAUUGAGCCAAAUAAUUAUUUUGAGUAGUUUUUUUCCCUCAUAAAAGCAAUUGGACGCCAAGUCCGAAUAGGUUUUUAAAUUUUUUACUUCUUUUUUUUGUUAGGAAGAGCUUAUUAUAACAAUUAAUUAAAUUAUUGUCCUUCAAAUCAAUUUUUUUUUUCUUUCCCCCUUCUUUAAAUUAUAUUUAGUGCUCUAUUCCACUUGAGUCGAGGGUCUUUCGUAAAACAAUUUAAUGGUAAGAUAUUUCUUACGGAAUUUCACUCAGUAUGUUGUUGUUCAUCCGCUUUAUAAAAAUUUAUAAUGUUUUUACUUUUUGUAGGUAUUGCUUGCAACUGUCUAAUUCUGAAAAUAAUGUUCAAACUAAUACAAAAGUCUAUGUGCAGGUUCUGUAAAUAUAUAUAUAUAUAUACGUAAUAUAAUUGGGCCUAAUAAAUAUUAUGAAUAGUUUUUUUCCCUCAUAAAAGCAAUUGAACGCCAACUCCGAAUAGAUUUUUAAAAUUUUUUACUUCCUUUUUUUUUUGGAAGUGUUUACUAUAACAAUUAAUUGAAUUGUUGGUCUUCAAAUCAAAUUAUAUUUUUUUCUUUUUCCCCAUUUUUAAAUUAUACUUAGUGCUCUGCUCCACUUGAAUCGAAGGUCUUUCGUAAAAUAAUUUAGUGGUAAGGUAUUAUUUGUGAAAUUUCACUCGGUAUGUUGUUGUUCAUCUGCCUCUGCUAUUUGUUUGUUUUUUAUUAUAAAAAUUUAUAAUGUUUUUAGCUUUUGCUUGUAUUUUGCAGAGAAAUUUUGACUUUGAAGAGAGUCGCCACUUAAUUUUGAAAAGGAAUUAAGAAACCUUUAGAGAGUUACUUCAAAUGAUUCAAAACAGAAAAAUCGUUUUAAGUUAGAGAUUUUAGAUAAGCGGUUCGUAUUAACGUUUUAGGAAGGUGUUAGGCACCUAAAACAUCCGCUAACUUGCGGUUAUCCGAUCUGUUUGAAAAUCGUCUUUGACUAACUUUGGAAAAAAGUUGAUUUCUGCAAAGAAAAGAAAUUUUAGUCAUAUUUUAGUGUUUAUACAAAACUUGUUUUUAGGCGAUUUAGUUAGGGAUUUAAACUAAGUUCGCAAAAAACAUGUAAAUAAGUAAACAAAAGGAAAAGGGGAGAAAAGUGGGGAAGUAGUGAUUUGGGCUUUCAAGCCCAAACCAUCGGCCCUGUCCUAAUCUAGUUAGGUUUUCAACCUAUUUCACCUGUCUUAGUCUAGUUUUUGAGCCUUUGGCUCGAGUCUCGCUCCACCUGCAUUAAAUUUACAACUUUAGCUUCGAGGCCCAAAUGAAUAAAGGAAUAAAUAAACGAAUAAAAUAAACAAGGACAACAAUGAUUAACUAAAAUAAAAUAAAAUAACAAAUGAGACUUUUGUCUCUUAGCAGAUUCGCAUGUGGGAUUUCAACCCCUUCUUUCUUCUUCUGACUCCCUAUACUCGUUGCCAUAAGAUCACCUUUGGACUUAGCACUUUGGGCUUGACUCAAUGAGAAUGGCCUUAUCGUCCCAUUGAGGAAAUGCAGGAAGAAAAAAAAAGCCCGUUUGGACUCCAAGGUGUAUUCAUGUAGAGAAAAGGAAAAAACAAAAGAGAGAAUUAAUGUAUAUCCUCAUAAAUUCUAUACUCGUAAAUGAAUUAUGCGAUGAAGAAGCCAAUAUUUUAAACAAAAGAACACAACAGUCAACUUACUACAUAUGGACACAUGAAACCAUAAAAUUUAUAUGAACUCUAGGAAUAUGAAACACAUAGCUUGCAAGGUUGAAGAAGAACUUACAUCGAUUAAUGAUUUCCAAACAAAUAAUGAUUUUCAAACAAAUAAUGGGAUAAGGUGGAAUGGGAAAUUGCAAGCAGACAAUGUUAACAGGUUGUGUAAUAAGACUAUAGAAAACUUUGGUGACUCAAAAAUAUAAACUAAAAGACUUAAGAAAGAACUUGUAACUUUCAACGGAAGAGAAACUUGUAAAAUAUUUCUUUACCCUGGUUUGACAUCUUUUGUCAAUAGGAUCCUUAAGAAUGAGAAUGACCAUGACAAACUGAUAUAAGUAACCAAAAAAAACAGGAAAAACACCAAAAAAAAACAACAACGAAUCAGGCCAUAGUGGCUCCAGCACAUGUCUGCAACGAGCUUAUAACUAGCAACGGGAAGAGAAAGAAAAGCCUAGUGUUGCAGCAAAUUCGUUAGUAAAUUUUGGAACAUAAGUCACAUCAAAUACUAAAUCAAAGGGAAGCUAUACAUGAGGUCCACAUCAAAUAAGGAUAGCACUGAAAUGGGGAUCAAAAUUAAUAAUGAGAAGUAUGAAAUUGCGACACGUGAAAUAGGUCGAGUAAAAGAAAACAGAAUCUUUAUGAUAUGCUAAACAAGUUUAGUAGUUAAUAAAUAAUAUUAUCAUGACUCAAUACUCACUAAGUCGCACCAUGAUUCGUUUUAUCAUAAAGGAACCUGACUAUCUCGAGGACCUAAUAGCACAUUUGGAGCCAUCCAUCUCAAACAAAAUCAGAGCUCCUCCAGAUAGCACCUUGCGAACUAUGUAUGGCCCUUGCCAGUUUGGAGUGAACUUGCCGUUGUAGUUCUUUUGGUGAGGGAAUAUUCGUUUGAGAACCAGUUGCCCCACUUCAAAUGCUCGAGUUCGUACCUUUUUGUUAAAGGCACGAACCACCCUGUGUUGAUACUGCUGACCAUGGCAUAAAUCGACCAUUCUCUUUUCAUCAAUUAACAUGAAUUGUUCAUAGCAAGCACGAAUCCAUUCUUCGUUACUCAGUCUAGCUUCCUGAAUAAUCCUUAGGGAAGGUAUUUUGACCUCAGCAGGCAUCACAUCUUCAUUCCCGUAAACUAUUAAAUAGGGAGUUGCUCCUGUGGAGGUUCGAACUGUUGUUCGAUACCCUAGCAAGGCGUAAGGUAACAUCUCGUGCCAUGAUCUAUCAUUUUCGACCAUCUUUCUCAAGAUCUUCUUGAUAUUCUUGUUAGUAGCUUCUACAGCUCCAUUCAUUUGGGGAUGGUACGCUGUCGAGUUGCGAUGCACAAUAUUGAACUGAUCAUAAAUUUCUUUCAUCAAGUGACUGUUCAGGUUUGCCCCAUUACCAGUAAUAAUCGAUUUCGGCACUCUGAAUUGGCAAAUCAAGUUAUUCCUGACGAAAUCUGCAACCACUUUCUUAGUGAUGACUCUGUACGAAGCAGCUUCGACCCACUUAGUGAAAUAAUCAAUGGCAACUAAAAUAAAUCUAUACCCAUUCGAUGCUAAUGGCUCUAUUGGUCCGAUGACAUCCAUGCCCCAAGCUACGAAAGGCCAAGGAGAAUUCAUUGUAUGAAGCUCGUGUGGAGGCAUUCGAAUCAGAUCUCCGUGUAUUUGACAUUUUGGACAUCUCUGCACAAACUUACUACAAUCAUUUUCCAUAGUCAUCCAGAAGUAACCGGUUCUCAAGAUUUUUCUGGCAAGGACAAACCCAUUCAUGUGGGGCAUACAAACUCCAGCAUGUACCUCGUUUAUCAACUUAUUGGCUUCCGCCUCAUUGAUGCAUCUUAGGAAUCCUAAUUAGGAGUCCUCCUAAAAAGAAUUUCUCCACUUGGAAAGUAAUUCUUUGCCAAACACCGGAUUGUCUUCUUUUGGUUGCUACUAGCCUCUUCAGGAUAUAUUUCAGAUUCCAAAUACCUCUUAAUGUCAUAGUACUAAGGCCUUCCAUUAGGAUCCUCUUCCACGUGUAUGCAAUGCGUGGGUUGCUCCUUCAAGCUUAUUUCCAAAGGAUCGAUGUAACUCUGAUCCGGGUGCUGAAUCAUGGAAGGUAUCGUGGCCAAAGCGUCAGCAAACUCGUUUUGUGUCUGUGAGAUAUGUCUAAAAUCAACAUCCUUGAAUAUUCCGCAUAAUUCUUGCACUAGCUCCACAUAAGGAGUAAUCUUGGAGUUUUUUACCGCCCAUUCUCCCCGUACCUGGUGAAUCAGCAAAUCUGAAUCUCUGAUGGCUAGCAAUUCAUGAACACCCAUAUCAAGUGUCAAUUUGAGCCCCAGGAUGCAAGCUUCAUAUUCAACCAUGUUGUUGGUGCAUGGAAAACAUAACUUAGCAGUUACCGGAUAAUGCUGGCCCAUUUCUGACACCACAACUGCUCCAAUUUCUGAACCUUUGAAGUUGACCUCCCCAUAAAAAAUAGCCUCCAUUUGGGGUAGAUUUCUGUGAUAUCUUCUCCUACAAACAAAACUUCCUCGUCUGGAAAGUAUGUUCGAAGUGGCUUAUAUUUCUCAUCAACUGGGUUUUCAGCCAAAUUAUCUGCUAAGGCUUGCCCCUUGAUUGCUUUUUGGGUUACAUACACAAUGUCAAACUCACUCAGCAAUAUUUGCCACUUGGCUAGCUUUCUUGUAGGCAUGGUCUUCUGGAAUAUAUACUUCAAUGGAUUCAUUCUCGAGAUGUGUAGGAUGACAGAUAGUGCCUCAACUUUUAUGCCGUCCAAAUCAAGCACAACAUGUCCUUUCUAUAAGAGUGUAACGGGCUUCAUAUGGUGUGAACUUUUUACUCAAGUAGUAAAUGGCUUUUUCUUUCCUGCCGGUCUCAUCAUGUUGCCCGAGGAUAUAUCCGAAAGUAUUUUCUAAGACUGACAGGUAAAGAAAUAAUGGAAUUCCUUCUCUCGGUGGGACCGAAACCGGUGGUGCAUAUAAGUAUUCCUUGAUGCGAUCAAAAGCUCAAUGACAUUCUUCUGUCUACUCAUUCAGUGCAUUUUUCUUCAACAUCUUGAGAAUUGGCUUGCAUAUGACUGUUGAUUUAGCAAUGAAUCUGCUAAUGUAAUUCAGACGACCCAGGAAACUCAUAACUUUUCUCUUGGUCCUCGGCAGUGGAAAGUCUUGAAUUGUCUUGAUUUUGGAUGGGUUUAGCUCGAUCCUCCUUCUGCUGACUAUGAACCCCAGCAACUUUCCUGAUAGCACACCAAAAGCACACUUAGCAAGAUUUAACUUUAAACUGUACCUUCUUAAUCUGUUGAAGAAUUUCUCCAGAUGAGUUAGAUGAUCUGAACUCUCGCGGGAUUUGAUAAUUACAUCAUCCACGUACACCUCAAUCUUCUUAUGGAUCAUAUCAUGGAAAAUCAUCGUCAUGGCCCUCAUAUAUGUCGCACCUACGUUCUUGAGACCAAACGGUAUUACCCUGUAAUGAUAAACACCCCAGGGCGUAAUAAAAACCAUUUUUUUGUAUCUUCCUCAUCCAUCAGUAUCUGAUGAUAGCCGAUGAAACAAUCAAUGAGUGACUGCAUUUCAUGUUUUGCACAGUUAUCAAUGAGAAUAUGGAUGUUGGGCAACGGAAAAUUAUCUUUAGGACUGUCUCUGUUCAAGUCUCUAUAGUCAACACAAAUUCGAAUGUUGCUGUCCUUCUUUGGCACAAGGAAGAUGUUGGCCAACCAUGUCGGAUAUUUUGUGACCUCGACAACCUUAGACUGGGUUUAUUUUGUCACUUCUUCCUUGAUCUUUAGACUUAAAUCUGGCUUAAAUUUCUCAUUUUUUGCUUGAUUGGAUCAAACUCAGAAUUUAUCGAUAAUUUAUGUGACACAAUGCUGGUGCUCAACCCUGGCAUAUCAUCAUAGGACCAAGAAAACACGUCGAUAUACUCUCACAACAGGUGGAUGAGCUCUUUCCUUUGUGGCGCCGCGAGGUGGACACUGAUACCGGUCUCUUUGAUUUCAUCGUGAUCUCCCAAGUUGACUGUUUCAGUUUCUUCCAGAUUGGGUUUUUUGUGAUUUUCAAAUUCCUCCAUAUCUUCCACUAACCGUUCCUCAUCAUCGUCCUUCCAACCAUCAUCGUCCCCUUCAGUUUGUUCGUUCAGGCUUUGACAUGACACAAUAUUGGCAGGUUUUAAGAAACUGUUACUGUAAUGGACAAACAAACUAAGUUAGAUGAUAAGAAAAUAAUAAAACAUAUGAUUAGGAGCGUUUUAGAACUAAUAUAGUUUUCCACAUAAAUGAAUGCCUUUUCAUUGAAAUUUGAGAAAUAAUUACAAAACCAUGGCAGGUGACUUGCACAAAUACAAGCCCUCGCCUUUUUUGAAAGCAGUAAGAUACGAAAAUAAAAUUUUGAGAUAUAAAAGGUGGAUCACGGGGCCUCCUCCGGAUCAUCACCGAUUUCAAAACUAUUAGUAAUUUCCCUUUCAUCUACCACGACGGGCGAUGGGUUAUGAGUGGAGUGGAGGUCUAAUUUUGCAAAGCCUCCCCUGACGCAAUCUGCUUUACCCCGUUGGACUCUGGGAGAUCUUCUGGUACAACAUUGAAUCCUUCAAACAAAUCUCCUAUCCCAUCCCCAAGACCAUCAUCAUCUGACAUCUCUCAUACGGGAAAUGACUGGAACAGGAGUGACAAAGGCCUAAACAAACUCCUUUCUGGUUCAUCCUCAACCCUAUCUUUUCUAGUAGGCUGAUACCCUAACCUGUGCUUAGAGCUUCUCUCUAGGAUCACAAUAGGCUCGAUAAUUCCUUGUAAAUUCUUGCCCAAGCCUCGACUAGGUUCAAACCCAUUUCUUAACAACACAGUUGCAAUUAUUUUGUAGACAGAAGACAUUGAUAUUUUAGGUGUCGAAUCUCUUUCCGCAGCAUUUACAAUUUCCACUGUAUAGAAACUACUACCUUUUGGAACAGGUUGUAGCUAGGAUGGAUAUCCAUAACAUAAAACUUAGUCUUAAACUCAGUAGGCCCCAUUUGGAUGUGCAAAUCAAUCUCUCCUAUGGUAUCUCUUUGCCCUCUAUCGAAUGCUCUCACAUUUGCGUGGCUUUGAUGCAUUUUCCCCAGAUCAUAGUCCAUUUGGACCAACGUGGAGAGGGGAUAAAUAUUCACACCAGAUCCAUCGUCGAUUAAUACCUGAUUAAUUGCAUAAUCUCGACAAAUGACGGUGACAUGCAUGACUUUGUUGUGCAUUGCUUCUUCAAACGGCAACUCUUCGUCACUGAAUGAUAUGUGAUGGUUCCCCACAACGUUCCCUAUCAUCACAGCCAAAUUUUCAACGCUUCUUCCUGCGGGAACAUAUGCUUCCUUUAAAACCUUCGACAGAGCCUAUCGGUGGUGUUGCGAGAUCAAUAAUAGUGCUAAGACAGAGAUUUGGGCUGGCGUUUUGUCUAAGUGUUUGACAAUUGAGUAAUCCUUUGGUUGCAUACGCCUCCAAAAUUCCUCAGCCUCUCCUUAAGUGAUUGGCCUUUUCUGUGAAUCUUUCUUGUUGGUCAAUUCCUUAGGGAUGUAACAUCGUCCUGAUUGCGUCAUCCCCUAGGCACCGGUGGUUUGCAAAGUAAAUUCCUUCUUUGGAGGGGGAGCAUACACUUGAUUCGGUGUAGUCAUCACUAUAAAUGGGGCUUUCUCAUUGAUACUUACGGCAGCCACAACUUUCUCUAUCUUUCCUACCUCUUUCGCCCUUUUGCGUUUUUCGGAAUUCACCUGGGUAAUGGUCUUGCCAGAUGCCCAUUUGCCUUCUAUUUUAAUCAUGUUAAUUGUAGGUCCCCAAUGGUUGGGCAGUGGAUUACUGCUAACAUUUGGAGUAGGUGCCUGGAGCGUGAUGACCUUUUGAUCAAUCAAAUCUUGGAUUCUGUGUUUCAAGAUAAGACAGUCCUCGGUACUAUGCCCUGCUGCCCCUGAAUGAUAGGCAAAAUUUUGAUCAGGGUGAGAAAAUGGGAGCUAGGAUUGACAGGCUUUGGCUGUACUGGUUGCAAAUGACCAGCAUUCUUCAAUCUAUCAAAUAAUUGGGUGCAACUUUCAGCUAGUGGGGUGAAGUUUCGGGGAAGUUUCUUUUCGUGGUUUGGACGCUGGGGGUUAUAUGGGCUUAGGUUUGUAGGAGGGGGUACUUGGUGGUAAUUUGGACGUGUUUGGAAAUUUGUUCGGCUAUUUGGGGGAGUAGUUUGGAAAUGAGACUGAUAAUUUGGAGGUGGAACUGGGUAUUGAGGAAAGAUAUUUGGCUGUGGAGCUUGGUAUGAUGGUGGGAUGUUUGGGAUUGGAGUUUGGUAUUGGGGGUGGACGUAGAAUACGUGCGGAAGGUUAGGUGAUGGCGGGAAAGAUAAAACGUUUCUAGAGUUGAACCGUUGUUUCAAUUUUGUAACAGAAUUGGCAAAAACCCCACCUACCUCUUCCUUCUUCUUCUUAGAAAACAUGACAGUUCCAGAUGAUGUCGAUGUUUUGGCAAUUUUUCCUGUCCGAAUACCUUCCUCUAAUGAUUCUCCUAUUUUACCAAAUCUGCAAAGGUCGCUCUGACAGCGGACACCAUCCUGGUAUAAUAUUUUUCUUCUUGAGCACGAGAGAACAUGGAUACCAUUUCCUCCUCGGACAUGAGGGGCUACACUUUGGCAACUUCUUUCCUCCAACGAAAAGCAUAAUCUCGAAAACUCUCAACGCUCUUUUGUUUAAUCCGAUCUAGUGAAUAUCGAUCAGGGACUAUUUCAAUGUUGAAUGCGAACCGGUCAAGGAAACUCUUUGCCAAUGUCUUCCAACCAGUUCACCUUUUCGGCUCCUGAGACAUGAACCACUCCAAGGCUUCACCAUUAAAACUGCGAUUGAAUAGGCGCAUUAAUAACACCUCAUUUUUCUAUAUCCCUACUAGUAGCUCGCAGUACCUUCUUAAAUGAGCCAUUAGAUUUCCGGUACCGUCAAACAUCUCAAGCUUAGGGACCUUGUAUCCUUUUGGUAGGUCUACUCCUGGGUGAACACACAAAUCUUCAUACCCCAAACCGUCGUGGUCCUUGGCCCUGUGAGACUCUUUGAUCCUCAUGAUCUCUUCUUGCAUGGCUAGUAAAUUCCUUUCAUGAUGGGCCCUCCAUUCCUUUUUUUUCUCCUCAUAAUGGUCCAUCUCGGGGUUAGGAAGGGGUUCAUAAAUAUCAGGGGAUAUGAUGGCUUGAGGGGAAUUUGGAAGGAAGACUUGAUUUUGCAGAUGGAGAGAAUUUGGUUGGUAAGUGGGGAGAACGUUUUGAAAAUUGGGAAGGUUAUGUGGGCCUUGUAAGUAGUUUGGCGGAAUAUGAGAGGGAUUUUGCGGAUUUGGAAAUGAAUUUGGUGGAUUCGAAGGUAGGUUUGCCGUAUUUUGUGGAUUUGGAAGUAAAUCUUGCGGAUUUGGGAAUGCGUUUUGUUGAUUUGAGAAUGUAUUUUGAGGAUUUGGAAAUGGAUUCGAAGGUGGGUUCUGUGGGGUUACGAAUGAAUUUUGUGGAUGGUAGACGUCUGAAUUAUUUUCACGAUUAGUAUUUUAGACAAAUGGAGGAGCGGAGAUGGAGGAUACAUUAUUCGGCUGAUCCCCAAAAAUAGGUGUGCUGAGGGGAGGGAUUUGAAAUGGAAUACCGUGUCCUUCUGGAGCAGGGGCAUUGACGGUGAUGGCCAAGUUAGCCAAAUCCCGAGUGCGAUUUACUUCUUCCUGAAACAUUUCUAACUUUCUUGCAAGUUCCGUAAUCAUCUCAUUUUGUUCCGCUAUUACAUUGUCUCGAAUAGUCAGGGCGCUUUACUCGUCAUUUCCUAUCAUUUUUGAAUGAUGGUCAGGGGAUGAGAUUUUGUGUGCUUCCGAUCGGGUUAAGUGGGGAUGUUCUGCCAGCUUAUAUCAACGUGGAGUAAUUUCGAUUAUCUGUAAAGUAAAACAACUCAAAGGCAGAUGUGUUAGUUUCCGUAUGUGAUAAGUAAUGCAAAAUAUUUGACAGAAAAUAACCAUAUAGAAUUGUUUGAGUCCUAGACAAAUUCAUCCAUAGGAGCAUAGCGGAUCAACUUGUCUUUGAUCCAAACAAACACCACAAGCAUACAAAGCAUUAUAAUAAUGCGUAUCCUAACUGGGGUGAUCCUUUUUGAGCCAAGGGUUCAGGCCUAAUGAUUUUUGAAGAAAGUAUAUGCUUCCCUAAAGUCAAUCCAUUAUCCCCCAACUUAUAUAGACACGAAACGGGCAUAAAUGUGUACAAACGAUAACAAAAGAGGGAUACAAUCUUUGGGGGAAAAGGGAAAUAACAUGAAAAAGGAUAAGUUCCCGCGCAGGGAAAAUAGAAAAACUAACUACUUGAGGCUCCUUCGUCUGCCUUUGCCUUCUUAGAUUUGUCCACUUCUCAUAUUGGUGACAUCCAUCGGCGCUCAAAUUGUGCCUUAGAUGUAACCUCCCAAAUCGAUCAAUUUCUUGUUUAACGUGCUUCAAUUCUUCUUACGAAAGUAAGCAAAUCAAGCUUUUUCCCGACCCCCAAAGGAUAUUGGAUUGAAUUAGACAGGCACACAUUUUCUUCAACACAUAAAUAUGGUUCAUCUAUAAUUGACUCAGGGUCAAUAAACAUAGGGUAGGCAUUCUAAUGGGUCCAAUACCUCGCUCGGGUAUUGGGUCGUCCUAGGCUCAUGCCUAAAAUAGGGUUUUGGUUUCAUUCUGUCCUAGGUGUCUAGAGUGAGUUUGAGCAUUGGUUCUCAAGCGGACAACUUGAGUUUGAAAUACGAAUAGCGUCAGAUGAUAAAUGUGCUGAUAAGCUGUUCGUAUUUCCAACACAUUUUGAAAUUGAACAACAGGGGCUGGGACAUCCACUAAACCCCAAAACAGUUUAUAAGACGCAGGAAUAUGCCUUGAGAUGCGAUAAUUAAACUUUACAUAAUUGAAACACAUAAACAGUUAAUCAAAAGACGAAAUCAAUCAUUUCGUUAGAACCUAGUUAAAGAUCCCCAGCAGAGUCGCCAUUUCUGUUUUGCGGAGAAAUUUUGACUUUUGAAGAGAGUCGCCACUUAAUUUUGAAAAGGAAUUAAGAAACCUUUAGAGAGUUACUUCAAACGAUUCAAAACAGAAAAAUCAUUUUAAGUUAGAGAUUCUAGAUAAGCUGUUCUUGUUAACGUUUUGGGAAGGUGUUAGGCACCUAAAAUGUCCGCUAACUUGCAAUUAUCCGAUCUGUUUGAAAAUCGUCUUUGACUAACUUUGAAAAAAAGUUGAUUUCUUCAAAGAAAAGCAAUUUUAGUGAUAUUUUAGUAUUUAUGCAAAACUAGUUUUUAGGCGACUUAGUUAGGAAUUUUAACUAAGUUCGCAAAAAACAUGUAAAUAAGUAAACGAAAGGAAAAGAGGAGAAAAGUGGGGAAGUAGUGAUUUGGGCUUUCAAGCCCAAACCAUCGUCCCUGUCCUAAUCUAGUUAGGUCUUCAACCCAUUUCACCUGUCUUAGUCUAGUUUUUGAGCCUUUGGCUCGAGUCUCGCUCCACCUGCAUUAAAUUUACAACUUUGGUUUCGAGGCCCAAAUGAAUAAAGGAAUAAAUAAACGAAUAAAAAUAAACAAGGACAUCAAUGAUUAAGUAAAAUAAAAUAAAAUAACAAAUGAGACUUUUGUCUCUUAGCCGCUUCGCAUGUGGGAUUUCAACCCCUUCUUUCUUCUUCUAACUCCUUAUACUCGUUGCCAUAAGAUCACCUUUGGACUUAGCACUUUGGGCUUGACUCGAUGAGAGUGGCCUUAUCGUCCCAUUGAGGAAAUGCAGGAAGAAAAAAAAAGCUCGUUUGAACUCCAAGGUGUAUUCAUGUAAAGAAAAGGAAAAAACAAAAGAGAGAAUUAAUGUAUAUCCUCAUAAAUUCUAUACUUGUAAAUGAAUUAUGCGAUGAAGAAGACAAUAUUUUAAACAAAAGAACACAACAGUUCACUUACUGCAUAUGGACACAUGAAACCAUAAAAUUUAUAUGAACUCUAGGAAUAUGAAACACAUGGCUUGCAAGGUUGAAGAAGAACUUACAUCGAUUAAUGAUUUCCAAACAAACAAUGGGAUAAGGUGGAAUAGGAAAUUGCAAGCAGACAAUGUUAACAGAUUGUGUAAUAAGAUUAUAGAAAACUUUGGUGACUCAAACAUAUAAACUAAAAGACUUAAGAAAGAACUUGUAACUUUCAAUGGAAGAGAAACUUGUAAAAUAUUUCUUUACCCUGGUUUGAAAUCUUUUGUCAAUAGGAUCCUUAAGAAUGAGAAAGACCAUGACAAGCGGAUAUAAGUAACCAAAAAAAACAGGAAAAACAACGAAUCAGGCCAUAGUGGCUCCAGCACAUGUCUGCAACGAGCUUAUAACUAGCAACGGGAAGAGAAAGAAAAGCCUAGUGUUGCAGUAAAUUCGUUAGUAAAGUUAGGAACAUAAGUCACAAAACUAAAGAAUUAAACUUAUUAUUAGGCUGAUAAAUACAAAAUCAAAGGGAAGCUGUACAUGAGGUCCACAUCAAACAAGGAUAGCACUGAAACGGGGAUCAAAAUUAAUAAUGAGAAGUAUGAAAUUGCGACUCGUGAAAUAGGUCGAGUAAAAGAAAACAGAAUCUUCAUGAUAUGCUAAACAAGUUUAGUAGUUAAUAAAUAAUAUUAUCAUGACUUAAUACUCACUAAGUCGCACCACGAUUCAUUUUAUCAUAAAGGAACCUGACUAUCUCGAGGACCUAAUAGCGCAUUUUGAAAAGAUAUUAGCAUGUCCUUCGUCUACUGAAUGGAUGGUACUUUUCCCACACCAAUUAUUCCCGUUAAACCUUAUAACAUCACAAAAGAGAAAUGUAACACAAAUUUGAAACCACAAAUUUCAACUCCAAAGAAAUCAACAUGAAAUGCACAAACUUUAUUUCAAAAUCAAGUAUAGUGAGAUACCACUAUACCUGCAUCCGAAAACCACCAAUCAAUGACGAAACCAACCUAUGACAAGAUACCAGUUACUUGAAACAAAAUUCGAGGCACAAAACUUCAACGUAAAUUCCAGACUUAACCAGAUGCCAUCAACCCGAAAGAACUUUCGAUCGUAUAAAAAACUUGAGCAACGCACAAAAUAAGAGCAUUCAACCAAAAAUCAAUCAAUCAGUCCACAGUGGACACCCAGCGCAGGAUAACAGCUUUCUUUUGGGUUGAUUAGAUGAAGGAGAAGCGAUCGAAAGAUUAAAAUGGGGUAGGAUAUUACCUUUACGAGAGCAGCAAAAUGAGACGAAGAAACUAACACCAAAAGACGCCACCAUCGAAACUUAGCGUCAUCAACUCAAGAAGCUCCGAUUGACCUGCCAACUCCUUCGACGCAGCAAAAAUAUGACGAUGAGCUAUCAGCACACUUAUCGCUAAUAGAAUCUCACGACAUCGACCACCAACAAAGCGUCUUUUACCUUUACCCCUAAAGAAACUUUGAAACCCCCGAAACUUUCGACUGAAAUUUUUAACCUACAUUUAGAAACUCUAAAAACUUUUCCUUACUCUAUUUUUGAAUCAGAACCUCUCUCAGAAGAGUUCCCUCUUUUUGAACCUUCAAAAGACCAUCCCAAAAUUCUGACCCCCUCCUAAUUUUCUCGACUUCAAAGAUCCAACCCCCUAAACCGGUGACUCAAAUGGUUCUUUAUAUAGAAGAAGGAUUAGGGGUAAUCUAGGGAUUUGAAAAAGGAAUUUUUUUGUUGAAAUUCAAAAUCAACUGCUCUCCCAUUCUUAUCCUCAAUCCCACCAAUUUUGGAUUUUUCUCUGAUAAUUCUUGACGGGUGCACCAAUAAGGUUUAGGGAAAAUGAAUUCCCAUCAAGAACCAAUGACAAUCAUCCAACUAUGUACGAAAAUCAUAAAUUCAUCCCGAGAUUUGUGGGUUUGAGCCGUUGGGGUGAGCCAACUCACCUAUUUCUAGAAGCUUUGAGGUUUUCCUCAUUGUACCAUCGCGUGUAAUGCGCGAAGAAGGAUAGGAUCGGGUUGAACUGGGUUGGUUUGAACCAGAUUCGGGUCAGUGUUGAUGGGUUCGAAGUUUGGUUGAUGUUUUGGCUGGUUUUUUGAAGCUAUAUGCUGAUGGAGGCUUUUGGCUGAAGUUAUUGUUGUUAAACGGGCCCGGAUCAGGGGGUUUUGGUUGGGCUGGUUGGGUAUUAAUUUGGGCUGCUACGAUUUUGGGUUGUUAAUUGAACUAAAAACAAAUAGGCCGCUCGUGGAUGGAUUUCUUUUGGGCCUGGGUAUUGGGUUUUAAUUUGGGUCAAAUGAGUAGGGGGUCUCAAGAAUUAGGAUUCUGAUUUUAGGAUUACAAAUUAGGCAAUCAAAUUUAAAUUUUAGCCAAAUGGAAUACCAAUUUGGUCAAUUGCAUUUACAAUUGGGGCCAAUUUGAUUUCAAUUAGAGUCGAAUUUGAUAAAUUGACUAUAAUAAAUCAAAAUUUGAUACGAAUUAACACCUUGUUUAAUGCUGAGCUUCUUGAUUUAAUAAAAUCAAACAUAUAUUUAUCCAAAUAAAUUAUUUUUGAGAUUAAAUCAAGACUUCAGCCAUUUAUUUCAAGACGAACCUUGAUUAAAUCUCGAUAUUUCGUAAAAUAAAUACUUAAGUAACAACAUUAUAUAAUCUCAUAUAAUUGACAUGAUAAUAAAUAAUUGCUACUUAAACCGACCAAUUUACCCAAAUAAAAACUUUGAAAAUCCCUUAUUUGGAUAAAAUAAAUGUUGUAGUUUUAUUUGAAAAUCGAAGAAACUCCGAAUUAAACUUAGUUAUGGAGGGCAAAAUUUAGGUGUCAACAGCUGUGAUAUAAUUGGACCAAAUAAAUAUUUUAAAUAACUUUACCCCCUCAUAAAAGCAAUUGAACGCCAAGUCCGAAUAAGUUUUUAAAUUUUUUACUUUCUUUUUUGUUUGGAAGAGCUUACUAUAAGAAUUAAUUGAAUUAUUGCUCUUCAAAUCAAAUUGUAUUUUCCCCCGUUCACUCUUCUUUAAAUUAUACGUAGUGCUUAGUGCUCUGCUCCACUUGAAUCGAGGGUUUUUCGUAAAAUAAUUUAGUGGUAAUGUAUUAUUUGUGAAAUUUUACUUGGUAUGUUGUUGUUCAUCUGCCUCUGCUAUUUGUUUGUGUUUUAUUAUAAAGAUUUAUAAUGUUUUUAUCUUUUGUAGAUAUGGCUCGCAGAUGUCUUAUUUUGAAAAUAAAGUUCAAACUAACACAAAAGCCUAAGUAUAGGUUCUGUAAUAUAUAUAUAUAUAUAUAUAUAUAAUAUAAUAUAAUAUAAUAUAAUAUAAUAUAAUAUAAUUGGGCUAAAUAAAUAUUUUAAAUAUUUUUUUUCCUUCAGAAAAGUAAUUGAACGCCAAAUCCGAAUAGGUUUUUUAAUUUAAUUACUUUCUUUUUUAUUUUAAGUAUUUUGAGUGGUUUUUUCACCCUCCUAAAAGCAAUUGAACGCAAAGUCUGAAUAAGUUUUUAAUUUUUUUUUACUUUCUUUUUUGUUUAAAAAAGCUUAUUAUAAUAAUUGAUUAAAUUAUUGUCCUUCAAAUCAAAUUGUAUUUUCCCCCUCUUUCCNNNNNNNNNNNNNNNNNNNNNNNNNNNACUUGAGUCGAGGAUUUUUCAUAAAAUAAUUUAGUGGCAAGGUACUGCUUGUGGAAUUUCACUUGAUAUGUUGUUGUUCAUAUGCCUCUGCUACUUGUUUGUGGUUUAGUAUAUAAAUUCAUAAUGUUUUUACCUUUGACAGAUAUUCCUUGCAGAUGUCUAACUCUGAAAAUAAUAUUUAGAGUCUAACUCAACCCAAAGUUACGAUUGAUUAAUAUUGAGUCUAGCUCAAUAAUAAUAAAAAAGCUUAUGAGGUAAGAUUUAUCGAAUACAUGUAUAGAAAUUAAAUUACCCUAAAAUCAACAUCUAUCAAAUUAAGGCACUUGUUAACCCUUUUGAGAUAUGAAAAAUAAUUUUUUCAGCUAUCGAUCGAGAAUUUUUUUUUUUUUUUUUAUUGUAUCAUAUUUGUCUCAACCAAGCUCGUAUGAAGAAAUGACUCUUUAACUUCGAAUAUUAUAAAAAGAAGUUGUACAAGAUUGGGGAAGGAUAGUAUUCCUCUAUGUUUAUUUAGAUAUUUCGGAUACAUACACUAUUAAAAAAAGACCAAAAUCGAUCAAAGAAAACCGACCACAAGUAAUCGGAUUUUAUUUUUUUUUAAUUUUUUAAUUUUUUUUUAAAGCUACCACAAGUGGUUGCUUUUUUAUUUUAAUAAAUCGAAAUAAUUAUUAAAAUAAAUUUAGUACUAAUUAUUAUUUAUUUUGCAAAUGAAAAAAAUAAAAAAAACGACCACAAGUGGUCGGAUUUUAAUUUUUUUUUUUAAAAAAGCGACCACAACUGGUAGCUUUUUUAUUUUAAAAAAUCAAAAUAAUUAUUAAAAUAAUUUUAUUAUUAAUUAUUAUUUAUACCAUUGAAAUCUGUCAUAUACGUAAUUGAAAGAUGAAAACUGAUCUUUAUAGUACGUAUUUGAAAGACGAUGUUUUAUAGCACGUAUUUACAGUCAUAAUAAUGUAAUAUAUAACCGAUAAUUCAUCAGAAUAUAACGAACGUGUUCUAUUAUAAGUUACUAUAGACUUGUGGAUGUGAUAUAUAUCGUACGAAUUCGAAAGUUUAUAUAUCUAUAUAUAUAUAUAUCUAUAUAUAUAUAAAUAUAAAUAUAAAUUUGGAUAUUUAUAUAUGAUGUAUUUGUGAUCGAUUGAUGAAAGAUGUAGUCAAAACCUAGUUUAUUAUUAAGCUAAUCAAAUAUAAUGAAUCGAUCACUCAUCUGAGUAUGUAUAACAAACACAUCAGAUUAUUUUAUUGGAUAAUAAUAUACUUGUGUAUGUAUAUGUGAUAUAUAUCGUACAUAUUUAGAACUUGAUAUAGUCAAUAGUGUGUGUAUAUAUAGGUAUACGUAUAUACUACUAUAUACAUUUUAUACAGUAAAGGUAUAUUAAUGACAUAAGAUAAUGUAAUAUCGUGUAUGUGAUGUUUAUUGUACGUAUUUUAAAGCUGAUAGACAGUUGAAUAUAUGUUUAUAUACGUGUAUCUCGUUUAGUGACGUAUGUAGUAAUCAAAAGUUAGAUAACUGAAUCCAUAUAUCAAAAUUGUAUGACUGAUAUGUUGACAUAUAUGCUGUAAUCAUUUUAUUAAAAUUGUGUACAUGUGAUUGUUUUUCAAUAAUAAUUUGUAUAAAAGCAAGUCGAACAGUUAUAUAAUAUGAAAAACGUCACAUUAUAUUAUUGGAUAAGUUACUCGUGUACGUAUGUGAUGUAUAUAGUACUUAUUGAUAUAGUCGAUAAUGUGUAUAUAUAUGCGUGUGUAUGUAUAGGUAUAUAUAUAUAUAUUGUGUCAAUAUGGCCACUGUAUCAGCACUAUUGGAGUAGCCCAGAAUAACAAUUGUUGAGAGAAAAAGGAAAGAAAGCCCGGGCAUCAUCCAAGGGUGGAUCCCUACAUACUGCGGGUGUCAGAAGUGCUCUUGCUGUGCAGGAAAAAAUGGUAUGUAACUUUAAAAAUUUUAAUUCUUUGUUUCUAGUUUAAUUUUUAUAUUAUGUGAACAUGGAUAAUUUUUUCAUAUGUAGGAAAAAGAACAAGAUAGGAAAUACCAGCUCCAGAGGUAUUCGUGCAGACUCAUCAGAAAAAAAAAAGAAUUCGACUAAUGAAGAUGUUUGGGUUGAACCUCGUGUAGAAAUUUUUCAUGUAAGAAAUAAAUUUUGAAUUUAUAAAUUUUUUUGUCAUAGUUGUUAUUAUUCAAGUAUAACUACUUUAUUAUUGUUUGACUGUUAGUAUUAACUUUAAUUUGAAUAUAGGUUAAUUUUACGCGUCUUGUUGCUGAGUAUCGUAGUAGUCUGCCUUCUGAAAGGCAGGGUGACCCAAUACCCGUGUGUGUCCAGAAUCAGUUAUGGACAAAAGUUGUGGGUCCUGCAAAUAGAGGUCAUUACUACAAAUACCAUACAGAAUAUUUUGGCGAAAAUAUUAGGAGCUCGUCUGGGACUGCAUACUCUACCCUCUUCGAUUAACAGAGAGAUCAUUGACAGACUAGAAAAUAGGGUAUCUCAACUGACUGCAGAGCUCGCUGAAUGGAAAGAGAGGUAUUCUAAACAGACUGCGAGGCAAAAGAAGACGGAGGAGGCAACAACAUCACAAAUUAGGAUGCUGCAGGAGCAGUUCAGCUGUUUCAUUCAGACGCAAGGGGUUAUUCCUUCGUGUCCUGGUGAUGCUGCUCGGGUAGCGAAAGGUCUAUCCCCCCUGGAUAAUCUCGGCAUGGACGAUGAAAUGGAAGAUGAGGAUGAAUUCGCAGAUGAUGAUUUCUAGUUUUAAGAUUUUUGUAUGUCUUCGACUUUAAAUUUGAUCAUUUUAGUGUUUCAAACUAUUGUUGUAUGUUUUUCAUACAACAAUAGUUGUUGGAAAUGUUAUAUUGUUAUAUUGUUGUAUGUACACUUAUUUAUAUUUGGGUUUUAGUUGUUGGAAAUGCUGUAUUAGGAUUUUCAUUUGGUGGUGCUGUUACAAUUGCUAUAUUUAGAUGUUCAGUUUUUAUUUAUUUUUAAAUUCUCAGAAAAACCGACCACAUGUGGUCGUUUUUUUGAUAUUUAACCUCAAAAAACCGACUACGUGUGGUCAGAUUUUUAUCAAAUUAAUUAAUUAAUUUAAUAAAAUUUUGACCACACGUGGUCGGUUUAUUAUUAAAUUAAUUAAUUAAUUUCGUAAAAAACCAACCACUCGUGGUCGGAUUUUUUAUCAAAAAUUAUUUUUAAAAUUUUAAAAAUAUUAUAAUAAAUUGUUAAAAAAUAUAAAUAUUUUUGUAAAAAACCAACCACUCGUGGUCUAUUUUGGAAAAGCCACCACUGUUUUUUCGACCACAUUUUUUGAUCAAUUUUUUGGUAGGAAAUUGGAUAAAAUCGAAUUUCACCUUUUUUUUAGUAGUGUAUAGCAUCAGAACAAAAUCUUUCCCAAUUCUUAUUUGGGGAAAGGACAUAAAUUGCAUGUCGGCUCAAACAUUUUCCGUUCAAAUAACCUAAGAAUUGAAAUUUCAUAUUUUAGCCACAUGACUGAUGUCAGUCGCUGACGCAUGCUGACACGUGUUCCUUUUUUUUUUUUGCUUUGUUAUCUUUUAAUUGGCUAGUGCUUCUGUUUUCUUUUUAUCUUUUUUUUAAUUGAUCAAUGCUUCUUUUUAUUUUUGUCCUUUUUUUUGUCAUUGAUUUACCUUUUUUUUUCUUUAUUUCAAAGAACAUUUGAUCUAUUUUGUUGUAAAAUUCUAUCAAAAUAAAAAAUAAUUAGUAAUUAUAAAAAUUGAAUUAUUAUUGUAUACGACUCUUUUUUUUCAAAUGCAUAUUUGAUAUCAAAUACAUAAAUGCAUAUUUUAUACAAAUAAUGGUACAACUUAUAUACACAUUAUAACAACAAUUGUACAAUUUCUAUACACAUCGGACUUGAAUGUUAUUUUAAUGAAAUCUUAGUUUAAUGAAGUCAGCCUUUAAUGAAUUAUUUUUUGUUUUAUUUAAGAAACAAUCUAAAAAGUACAUAUAUUUGUGAUGGUGGUAUAUUAAGUUCUUUUUUUCUAAUAGCUAAAAUUUAUGUGUAUCUUCUUAAUUAGGUGACAGCAUUUGGUUGGAGUACUAGUCCACGUAGGAUCGAUUUUCACGCAUAUAUGUUGUAAGAUUGAAGUGUUCUUUUAUUCAAUUUUUGUAUAGUUAAAUGGCCUACUUGUAUACUGGCAAAGUUAAUAUCUAAAAUUUACGUGUAUCUUUUUAAUUAGGUGGCAACAUUUGGUUGGAUUACUAGUCCAUGUUGGAGCGAUUGAGUUUCAUGCAUAUGUGUUGCAAGAUUGAAGUGUUUUCUUGUUCAGUUUUUAUAUAUUUAAAGGACUUACUUGUACACUGACAAAGUUAAAGGUCAUAGUUAUAAUUUGAUAUUAAGUUAAAGGUCCUGUUUAUGUAUUAUGCCAUCAAAAAUCUAUUAGUAUAGACUGAGAUGGUUCAAUCGUGUGAUGAGGAGGAGCACAGAUGCUCCAGUGCGGAGAUUUGAGAGGUUGUUUAGGGUUGGUUUCAAGCGAGGUAGAAGUAGACCGAAGAAAUAUUGGAGGGAGGUGAGUAGACAUGACAUGGAGAAGCUCUAGCUUUCCAAGGACAUGACCCUGGAUAGGAAGCUGUAGAGAAGACGGAUUAAGGUAGAAGGUUAGCCUGAAUUUAGGAUAUUCUAUCUUUUGGUGUGUUACUUGGAGUAUCUUGUUUAUGGUAUUAUUGAAUAUGCUAAUUUCUAUUGUAUCUUGUUCUUUUACUAUUCCUUAUCUUAGAUUAAUUUAUUUUGAGCCGGGGGCCUAUCAGAAACAAUCUCUCUAUCUCACAUCUGAGGUAGUAAUAUGAACUGCCUACACUUACCUUUUCCAUACCACACUUGGUGGAAAUAUAUUCGGUAUGUUGUUGUUGUAUAGAUUCCCAUUAUAAAUGCCAUGAUGACAACAUUGUCUUAAGCACAACUUAGUAGUAAAUCAGAAAAUUAAGGACUUAAUCAAAGUGUUAAUUAGCAAAAUGCUAGCCAUUUCUCUUUCUCCUUUAUUUUCUGUUAAUAAUAAUUGUGAGUGGCUUUUGGAGGAUCUUGUAAGCUAUGAAUUAAACAGUAAUAGUGGAGAAAAUUCAAAUUCAGAUAUUGCCAUUAAUUCAUCAUCUCAAAAAAGCCUUCAACAUUCGAUUAAAUUUGAUCAUCAGAUAAUUAACGGUGGUGAUCAUAAAUCAACCUGAUCAGACGGUGAAGAAGCUUAAUCAUAAUGUUAGUGAACGCGAUCGUAGAAAGAAAAUCAAUGGCUUAUAUUCUUCUCUUCGCUCUUUGCUUCCUGCUUCGGAACAUACGGUAUGAUUUUAUGUUAUUUUUCCCUAACUUGAAAAUGCAUCACAAAACAAAUAUAUCGAAAUUAGCUCUUGAAGCUUGGUGAUUGGCACGUGGAAUAUAAAAAAUGUAUGAUACGCUUAUAGGUGUGAGGCCUUUUUUGAGAAAAUCAUGCGAACUUGUCCACAAAUGGACAAUGUGUUAAAAAAGAGUCUCUUUAGGUUGUUUUUAGCCCGACAAUAUAUUGAAACGUACCUAACCUUUAAUUAUUCUUUAUGUUUUGCAGAAAAAGCAAAGCAUUCCAGCAACAAUAUAAAAAAUUCUAAAGUACAUACCACAAUUACAAAAUGAAGUGGAAAGAUUUGACUCGGAAGACAAUUUACAUCAAGAACUAUUUCCAAUAGAGAAAAAUCAGCUGAUUUUAACAAGAAAAAGAGAAUAAGAGGUGGACUUGAGAAUUUUUCAUUUGUAAUUUCAGCAAAUGAAGUUGGUAAUAAAGAAAUAGUGAUGCAAAUAUCAACUUUGAAGAACAAUAGAGGUACAAUUGGUGAGGCUAUAUCAUUAUUAGAAGAUGAAGGACUUGUUCUACUAAAUGCAACUUCUUUUGCAACUUUUGAAGAUAGGGUAUUCUAUACCUUGCAUUUUCAGGUAUUAUUAAAUAUCCUUUUAAUUUGUUUCUAUUGCUCGGAUCCUCCAAAAAUGUUGUUGGAUAUGUGUCUUAUCAUCCAAAAGUGAGCGCGAUGAUAUUUUUGGAGGAUUCGAGCAACAUAAUCUUUCAAGUUGUGUUAAGUUUUUUUUUUCCCUUGUUGGUGUAACAGGCUGAAGGAACUAUGGUAGUUGAGGUUGACAUGUUGAGAGACGAGCUCUCAUCAUAUUUUUAUAAUGAAGACAAAUUAUAACAACAAUGACUCUGGCUUUAUUUUUGCUAAAAUAUGACGUAUUCACACUUUUCUUUUUUUCAUCUUUUUCCAUAUGAUAGGAUCAGCAACAAAUGUAAAUGUCCUUGUAAAAGAAAAAAAAAUUGUUCUUAACUCAGAAGUUGUGUACUCAAGACUCUUUAUAACAGCAACGUCAUAUAAUAUAACAAUAUUAUGAAAGUCGGUUCCAAAGAAAACUAGGCAGUUAUAGCGAAAUAUUGUUAUAGAGGAUGACUGCUAUACAGAGGUCUAACUGUACUUCAAAAUAUAAAUUAUCCACUGUUUCUGAAGAGCAAUUUGAGGUAGGGAAGAACCUUAGGUAGCACUGGCAAAUCUGCUAGGUUUACACUCAUUAGAUCAAAAGCAAUACAAGUUGUUUGCAUACUCACUUCAUCAAGUGCAGGUACUUUGGGGUAUCUUUGGCUGAAGUGUGUUAAUAUUACGCGGUAUGCACCAGCAGAAUCUCCCACUUCUAUAGCUUCUUUGAUUGUGCUGUGAUUUCUUGCUAUAGCCUCCUCCACCAGGCCAUCCUCAAAUGUUGCCUGCAGAUAAUGUACUAGCAUGUUAGUAGUAAUUAACUUCCUUUUUCAAAAUGUUACAACUCGUAUACUUUGCAUAACGAAGGAUAAAAUACUGUACCUACUAAAAUAAAAAAAUAAAAAAUAAAAGAAGCCAUGAGCUUCUAUAAGGGAAAGUUGCACUGACCUCAUGUAUAAGUAUAGUUGCACCAAGAGAUGCUUCUAUAACUUGCGAGCAUGGCCUCGUGUCACCAGAAUACACAACCUUCCAACCCGGUACUACUUUGUCGUGAUUCAUUCUUUCUGCUGAUUCCAAGAUAACACCAAACGCCUCAGUGUCUGGACAGUGUACGACAGGGAAGCUGAUGAGUCUCACUAGACCUGCUUCACUGAGAACUUUCCUGAAACACUUUAGCAAUGUUAUGUCAUCAACUGGAGUGCUUAGCUUCAUUUUUUUCGAACAGUGCUGCAGAGGACUGUCUUCAGAAAGAGAAGUCAACAGAGUAUGAUCUCUACUUUCAACAUACAUAGAGUCGGCCUCCAUAUUAUCCCAUGCAGCCACCGUAGUGCUCUUACAGUCGAGAAACAACAUGUCUAGAUCUUCUAAUUUUAUAUAUUCCAUGAGAAACUCCCCAACCUGUUUUGGCCCAAUAACCAGUAUGCGAUCAUGGGCUACUCCCUUCAACAAAUCACGUCGUAAAGCAAGUAUCCGUGCCACACCUGCGUGGUGAUCAGCAUGGAUAUGGGAAAUCCAAAUGCAUUUAAGAUUUCUAACUGCACUGUCUGCACCAAUAAUGCCAUAUCUGUUCCAAAGUUACAAAUAAAUUAGUUCACCAAAAUCAAAAAUGACAAAUAAAGUUCUGAACAACAUAGAGUAAAUCCAAAGAGUUCGAUGCUAUUACCUCCUCUUGAGUUGUGCCAGGGUUCCUUCUCCACAAUCAAGGAGUAAACCCCCUUUAGAGAAAAGAUUAACAUGGAUGGAACUGACAUUUCGAUAUUUUGAAGGUACAGAAGAACCGGUGCCAAGAAAAACAAUCUCCAGAUCAUCUCUCUGUACAUUCUCGAGACACCUAGGGGCAGAGAAUUUUGAAGGUUCUUCAGUCACGACAUCACCACUGUCCUGCCUGUUGGAUAAUUCCACCUCAUCUUUAGGUUUGUGCCAAAAUUUGCUUAUGUUCUUAGCUGCAUCAGCAAUCUCGGGAAUCUCUGAAAGUAACUCUUCAAUGAAAACUGAGGAGGUCGUCGGAUUUUCAACACUUGAUCUGUCCAAUCCCAUAUCUCUAGGAGGACGUAAGGUGAACUGUUCAACAGGUUGGACAAGAAAAGUUCAAUCCAAGGAAGGCCAUGCAAAUGAAAAUUCUAAUCAAACCAUAGGUAUGAAUAAUGCAUUAAGCUUGAAAGAAGAAAAGUUGAAAAUGUAGCUUGAAGAGAAGGGAAAAUGGUUACCAUCAUUUUUUUUAUUAUAAACACUACUGGAAUAAUUAUAAUCACAAGUUUAUUAAGGAACAGUUUAACAUGAUAUGGUUAAAAAGGGCAGCCCAGUGCACUAAGCUCCGGCUAUGUGCACGGUCCGGUGAAGGGCCCAAUCACAAGGAUUUAUUGUACGCAGCCUCACCUUACAUUUCUGCAUAAUUCAUAAAGGCAAAGGUAGCCCAUUUCCCGAGUCAAAAUACAUAAAAGGCAGGAAGCACAUUCCCGAGUCAGAACAUUUGAACAGAUUCCUUUCUCACUUAAAUUCUAGCUGGCAGGUGAAUUAUAUUUAAUCUAUAUAGCUCUAGAAACUUUGUUCAUUUUCAGUUCUUCGUUUUAUAGUUAUGAUUAACAUAAUAUACUUCAUUAGUAGGGGGGAAUCUUUUGAAUUCCCAGAAAUCAAAGGUAGAGCUGAGGUAUGGUACGAAAGGGUGGAAUGGAGGGCAAACUACACGAGAGAAUGUCUUUAUGCAUAAAAUCAAAAUGAACUGCCUGCUUUUAUUUCAGUUUUGGUGUAAAGAAGAAUUAAUGGAAGAUGCUGAUUCACUGUUAGGUAUCAUAGAGCCAUUGUAAGAAGCCCAAGGAUAUACUCUUGCUCCUUUUGGGCUAAAAAUAUAGUUUCCAGCACAUCCAUUGUGCUGAUAAUUUAUAAUAUUGUUACCUUUCUAAAAGAAAAACAUAAUCAGGAAAAAUUGGAGUCAACAAUACCUUUAAGAGAUUUUCAGCAAAUAUGCCACAAGCUGAACCCUGCAAAGACAAGUAUCAUAUCACAAGCUUUCCUCGAUUUUUUAAGAUGUUCUCACAAGUGACUAUCAACUUCUAGAGCUCAAAACAAAACUCCACUGGUACCUUUAUAUGAGGUGUUCCAACAUCGUCACCAACAGAAGGAAGACUAGGAGCUGGAAAAAGCUGAGGACACAAAUAAUGCAGUCUUGUACCUAUUUUAGCACUAGAUACUAGAAUUGGAGUUGUUUCAUGCUUCCUGUGACAGAAUGACUAUGAACCAGUGUUGACAAGGAAAGAUCUAAAAUAAGCAUUAAGAGGAGUUACAGACCUUGGAGUUCUUGCCAUAAUAUGUUGGGCAGAAUCAAAUUUCCCCAUCCAUUUCUCAUAAACAGGACUGUUGAUGACAGUAGCAGGGCCCAGAUGAAUGAUGCAGUUCACAACCUUGGUGGUAUCUGGGGAGUUGCUUUGGGAAUCAGAGUAAUAGGCUUCAAGAGCUUGUGCAGAGAGUAACUCUUGUGCAUGAGGUUCUGUUGGACAGUCAACAAUCAGUACAAUCGGACCAGGAAUAGUUGGACCUAUAACAUCAUCUGGAUGGACCUGAAUGAGGCAAAAUUAAAACCGGCUGCAAUUUAACCAUUUCAAAGGCACAAGUACCGCAGAAACAAAGUUCAUACUGUAGUUCUAAUGUGUAGAACUGACCUCGAUAUCCAGAAAAUCUGACUUCACACUGAACCCCUUCUGCAGUUGUCCAAGCUUUCUCCCUGGAUUGAGUCCGCAAGCUUUAGCCUUAUCUUUGUCAACUUUCCCCGUGAUGUCAUGUAGUUUACAAAUAUAUACAAUGGAGGUAUCAUUUGGACUAAAAUGUGAUCCAGCAAAGUGAGUCGGUGAUAGGAGAAUAGCUGAUAUACUAACUGCCUUGAACUUGCCAUCAGCUCUCAACUCCUCCGCAUGUAAUGGGGGAACUAAUGCAGAUCCACUUUGCGGGAUGCAAUUUUUAUUCUUCAUAACAGCAUGAGGGACAAAAGUCUUCAUUGCAUUAACCAAUAAAUUUAGAUUUGGAGGACCCCAUAUCUGGACCUUAAAAAAAAAAAUAGGGGAUGCUUUUUUAGCAAGUACACCACUGUCGCUGUACAUUUUAAUGCCAAGUAUAAUAUGAAAAACAGGGAAGUAAGCACUGAACUGGUACUCACUUUCCCAGCACUUUGAGGACUUUCAUCUUUCAUGCCAGCCAAAGUCAAUAGCAAUCCUGAGACUUACAGAAUUAGGGAGGAAUCAUGACGAAAAUGAUUUCACGAGAUAUUUGAUUCUUGAAUUUGUAAUAAGUUGUACCACAUAGAAAAUCAAUUUAAUUCUCUAAGAAAGUUAAAGGGAGAAAACUAUUUGUGGUUUAAAAGUAGUUCAUUAUUCCCUGAAGUGAAGAUGCAAACCUGGAAGUCCACCUGCUGUCUCUGAGCAUACACGAGUGAGACAUAUGUGGUCUACCUGUAAAUCGAUUGUUUAUGUCCAACAAAAGCAGUGACCAAUUACUUUUGUACUUUGAAACUGAUAUCGCGCAUCUGAGACAUACCUGAGAUAAUUUUAUCUUAUACUCCAUGCAGAAGCGUUGUAAUCCCUGCAUCAUGAGCAAUGCUUUGAGGAAUAGCACCUUAGAAGUGUUCUUAGAAGAAAGUAACUAACGAGACAACUUCCGCAAGCAGGUGAUAAUUCUUUUUUUUUUAAUGUUUAAUAAGUGGAUAAAAAGGGAUAAUUUGGGUCUAAGCAUUCAAUCAAUCUAUUAAAAGAUUGAAUCUGAACAGAAUGCUUCUACUCAUUAUACUUUUAACAAAUGUCCAUACUUUAGAAAUAGCAUUCUGUUGGCAUCUCCACGCAGCCCGUUCCUAUAGCUUUUGAAUUAAGAUAGAAAAGUUACUAGGAAUAAGAACGUCUGGGAAAGUGAGAAUCCUUAACGUAAGCAUGAAAUUACUCACAAAGGUGAAGCAGAAACACAAUUAGUUAUAUUUACAACUCAUCAUGUCACUGUUAAUACUAUAACAUCCCCAAUCUACUCUUCCCUAGAGAAAAUGCAGUGAGUAAAUAGAUAUUACUAUCACUCAAGAGUUACCUCUCCAGCGUUAAAUAUGAAUCUUUCUUUGUCAAAGCAGAGCAGAACAGAUGGGGAUGUUUCUUGGGUAUCCAUUCCUGUCCCCAAAAUCUGUAACAAACGAGAAAGUCGCAAUUACUACAACAAAACAAAAAUAAACUUAAGAAGCAAAAAAAUAAAGAAAACAAACAAAGAUAUGAGAUCAUCUCAUUUUCAGUUAAGACUACAAUCGUAAAGUAAUUCACCAGACAUGGUAAUGUUUUUGUAUACUUCAAAGAUGACAAGGAUAUAUAGUUAUGUAAACCUUUUAUAAGUGUCUGGGGUUAGUCCGUGUAUGUUAUGAACCAGCCUCGGCCCUAUGCCAAUACCUAUACACGUCACUCAACUAGUUAUUGGGCCGAGAAGAAGCAACAACUGGAAGGCCUUCACAAAGGUUGACUUGGGACCCUGGCCUACUUAACAACUAGCUAAAAGGACCAAUGGAUGAGAGAGAAUGGAUUAUGCUUAUUGUGUAUUGUGCCUUUGCCCAACACUAUGCUUCUCAUCUCGACUUCUUCUAUGGCGUCUCAUCCCCUUUCUGUCUGACCCAAAUAUCGUUCGUUCUACCCUUUCUAUCAAUAGUGCUUUGUUACCGUAAUUCCCUGUUUCAGUUUAUUAAUACAAUCAAUUUGGUCUGUUGUUGAGUAUGUGGAGUAGUGUUUGCUACAUAUGACUUUUAAGUUUUGGGAUGAGGGAACAAAUUCACACUAGUUUAUAAGAUUUUACAGGCUAGAGGGGAUUAACCAACACAACUUAUACAGCAACAAAAGUGAGAUUAAGACCGAUGUCACACCGAGAUUAAUUUAUUCAUCUACAACCAUUCUAAUGAUCAUUUCUUCCUCUUUUACAGUCAUAUUUCUAUUCUGGAUCAUCCACAGAGUUAUCAAUGGCGCGCUUCAAGCGUGCUUAAGCCCAAAGGCGAGGCUCAAAACAUGUUGAGCAUUUUGCCUCACUUUAUGUGCGCUUCACUGUCGUCAUCAAGAUUCUAAGGCAUACUUCUCCUUGUGAAUGAGUCUCUUCUGAAGAGGCGACAUUAAACAUUGAUAUUACAAUUUAUUGUUGUUGGUUUUCAGUUUCUUUGUUCACAUAUUUGUCAUUAAUGCUUAUAAUUAUUAAUCUUGGAUUAAACAUUGUAUGUUUUAUCCCUUUGAGCCUAUUUCCAAUGAAGCGCACUCUUUCAUUUGCGCUUUAAGCCCCAAUAGUCCUUGGAGCUUUUUUGUGCUUUUCUCUUUUGAUAACACUGUUCAUCCGUUUGACUAUAGUGUUCUCUAUGACUUCUUUCUUUUGUAAUGCAUCUUCAGGAUGCUUUUCUUAGUAAUAUCCCACUUCAUGAAAAAAAAAAGUAUUCUUUAUGCUAUUUUUUUUCCUUUGACACCUCCUGACUCAUGCUAUCCACCAAAAAGGGUAAAGAUUCUCUGCCUACAUAUACUUAAACCAAAGGAAAAAACUUUGUAAGCAUCCAUAUCAUACAUAAGGAAAGGAUUACUGCUCAGUGUUAGAAACACAUUAGUCAAUAUUCUCCUAUAAAGGUUUUAUGAUAUAUAAUCAGCAAAGAUACAAAGUGAAAGAUGAAAAAGGUUAAAACUUGAAAGCGGGAAAACGUUGCUGGAGAUCGGGGGUGUGGCCUAGUGAUUAAUGAAAUGGUUGAGAUAUGAGGUUUCACGUUCAAAUUCAAAUGGAGAUAAGAACACUAGGUGAAUAUUUCCCAUCUGGCAGCCUUGGUGGAUAGAGUUACCCGUUAUACUAUGUUAGUGGUGAGAGGUGAUACAUAUCGCCUGGAAUUAGUCGACGUGCCCAAAAUCUGGCCAGGACACCACAAUCAUCAAAAAAAUAACAAAAUAAAAACUCCAUCGAGACAUAAAUGUGCCCUUUACCACAGCCUCAACUCACACCUAUUCCAACUUUGGAUGUGCAUAAGGAGGUGCUUUUGACUAGUAUAAAGUUGAACAACUAGACACACACAUCCUACGUGUGGCAAUUCAUGUGAAAUUGCCAUGUAGAUGCCACAUAGAUGUCACAUGGAACGUGUAUGUCUACUUAUUCAUCUUUAUACAAGUUUACAUGUCUACCUAUAUACACCCAAAAUUAAAAGGCAUAGAUGUGAGUUGAGGCCAACUUAAAAGGCAUGUAUUACGCCAAAACAUACAUCAAUAUAUAAACAGAGUAAGAAUAAUUUAUUUAUUCUUUUGCAUAUACAUGAGUUGUUGGAAUCCCCUCCCUCUUGUAAGCCAUUACACAAAUAUAUAUAUCUUUUAAAAGAACCUGGACAUAGGCUUUCGUAUUAGUGUGAACAUUAUUUUCGGGGUUAGUCAUCCGCAAGCGAAACCUGCAGAAGGUAUAAUCAACAUUAUGAAUUUUUAAACUAAAACACAAACAAGUGGCAAAGCAGCAACAACAACAGCGUACCACUAGAGAGGUUUUUUUCGAGAGACCUCAAGCAGAAGCAGGGCACUAAAUAUAAUUUAAAGAUACAAUUUGGAACUGAAGGUGUAUGCAGAAAUUGAUGGAGAGGAAUAAAGAUGGAGGCAAUAUUUUCUCUUGAAUUAGUUGUGUUACGGCGUCCAAUUGCUUUUAGGAGACGGAAAACUACAAAAAAUAUUUAUGGGAAAAUAACAUAAACACACAUUUUAACCUAUUAUAUUUAUACAAAUUUUUAUUCUAAUUAUAAAAAUUACAACUAAUUAUAUGUCUUCAUUGAAUGUAUUGGGAUUCGGGAGCUAACUGUGUAUCUCAAUAGAUUCAAAAUCGAAAAAGAUGUAUCGGGAGCUUAUUAUGUAUCUUGACAGAUCCAAAAUCGAGAUUUUUAGUAAUUAUGUACAAUGUUAGAAUUUUCUAUAAUCAAGCUUCGAAUUAUCGGGAUUUAUAUUGUUUGUCCAAUAUUUAUUUGGCGCAAUUAUAUUAACAUUUUCUGCCCAUACUAAAUUCAUGACAUUAAGGGUUCGUUUGGUCAUUUGAGAUUAUGACUUGAAAUCAUGAUAUAAAAUCACAUGAGGAAAUGUAAUUACUUUUAAGUUGUAUAUUUUCCUCAUAAACAUGAAAAUCUCAUAAAAAAAAAUAUUAUGCAUAUGUCAUUCUGUUUAAGGUUACAUUUAUUUUCAUUAAGAUAAAGAUGUAUCUAAAUACAUAGUUGAAUGAUUAAAAAACUGUUGUUUCUAUAUGAGGUAAAAUUAGUGUGAGACCACAUACAUAGCAUGAUGAGGGCAGGCAGCUCAAAUGCAUGACAUGAUAACAAGAGCUACGACUAUUAAGAGUCUCUCUCGGGUUAACGGCAACAGAGGUGUCUUCUCGUAAAGGAUAUGAUAACAAUUGUUCGCCAUCGUCGGUAACAUGGCACGAAAGGCAAAUAAGAAAUAAGAAUGUCAGAUCUGCGGAGAGACCAUUUGGAGCAGCGCAUCAGAGUUGGCUCACUAACACAUGGCGCACCUGCAUCGAUCUUAGUCCUUUAGGGUACUAUUGUCAAAUUAUAAUUGACCAAAGAGUAAGAUUGUGAACCAUAAAUAAUCGUCCUUGCUCAACUUGUGUGAAGUAAUAACAAUCUGUCAAACACAGAACAAUAUUCAAUACAAACAAUGAGCAAUUGUUUAGCAUCACUCUUUAACAUAAACCAAAACUACGCCAACACAAAAAAUCAGUAUCUUGUGACUCAUGCCACUGACAUACGAAAGUAGUAAGUUUUCAAGUACUCUCCAAAACAUUGGCAGCAUUAACAAAAAGGCAAAUCUUUUUUUGCAAAUUAACUCAAAUCAUACUUUCCCCAGUCCAAUAGGAGGUCAACAGUCUUCUUGCCAUCUCUCCAACAUCAGCGUCAUCCCUUUGACUCUUGAUCCUAGCAAGCCCCCCGCUCUCGAUGACCAUUUGUUUGUAGACAUUCACACCGUCUACUUUAUGAGCCUCUCCGACCCUUAGAAUAUUGUGUAGCCCUUGGAAACACGAAGCUCUUCUACCAUAACCUCCACUCAAAAGACCCCCAGAAAUUGCUUCAAUUGCACCUUGAUCGACCAAAUAUCUGAACAAUACCGAUUACCAAUUAAACAUUUAUAUAUAUUAUAAGGAAACUACCACACAGUUGACAAGAAUCUCGAAAAAGAAUAUUGUACCUAAUCUGCUCGUGAGAUCCUCUCUUGGCAGCAGCUGAUAUGGCAUACGUAGCCUCGUAUUUGGUCUCACCAACCUCUUGAUUAAUUGAUAUUUGAAUAAUGGACGGGUAGAUAGCUGCAUCAACCAUGCUCUGUAUCAUUGAAUAAGAUUAGUUAAUAUGAGUCAUAUCGAAUGUAUCAAUUCUACAAAAAUGCACAUGUCAGUAAAAAUGAACCUGGAUUUGAAUUGGCUGGUAAGUCGCUAUAUUUGCAAUGACACGACAAGCACUCCUCACUUCUAAAGGAGGUAGGUGGUUAUGGUUGAUCAGAAUUUCUAAAAUACGUUGAAGAACUUGGUUGUCAUGUAGAACCUAGAAAACAUUAGAGGGUUCACUUUAAUUCCUUGUGAUGAAGGAAGUAGACUUCUCAUUCACAAAACAACAGACCAGAUAUUUCAACUCUUAUCACCCAACACACCAACAAAAGCUGACAAAAUAACCAUGAAAUAAGUGGGAAUGACAAUAUGAAGAUCUUCACAAUAUAUGUAUAUAUAUAUAUAUAUAUGCAGUAGUCUUCACUCUAACACAGAUUAAAAACUCAAUACACAAAUACUUAUGCAGUACCAAAGGUCCUUGGGUUAAAAGGUAAAAGACUGCAUUGAGAUCAAAAGUUGUUUCCAGUUAACCACAUUCAUAGUACUAUAGUAGUAAUAAUUAGUAUCAUUUAAUAGGAUUUCAAUUGUUCAAAUUCAGUACAACAAAAAUUAUAGUAGGAGGUUAUAAUUGAUGGUUUAGUUGUUGCAUGUUAAUGGUACAAGGAAACUACCUGAAUUUGAUCCGCAGUUCCGUACUUAAGGAAGCUCUCAACAACCUUCAACACACUUGCCACCACCUCACUGUUAGGAUGUCUGGUAUAACCUCAAGUUUAUUAGAUUCUCUAUUAUACUACGAGAUGUACAUAAAACUUAUCAGCUUAAGGAGAUCACAACUUACGCCAAAAGCAUCACCAGCAUUGGGCACAUAUUUCCUUCAAUCAGCGCAUUUAUAGGGUCAAGUCCACCGCGUGCCAGAGAUGCAAUAAUCAAGCACGCAUGCUUAAUAGCAGGAUGUGCUCUUUCUCCUAUAUCAGGCUCCACUUGAUUAAUAAGAAACCGGAGGAUCGGUAUUGAUGGUCUCAGCUGAAACAGCAAGAGUGUAGCGCAUAUGAGCAUUAAAGAAAUCAGUGAUGUGUGUGUGUGUGA
rnacentral:lncRNA from 1 species